UUUUUUUUUUCAUAUAGAAACUAUCAAUUGUUAAAUGCGUGUCAAUUUUUUUCAUGAAAAAGUUUACACGUUUGUCUUCGAUAAACAUUUGGUCCCACGUAAUAAUCUAAUUUAAUGUUCUCUCAAUUUUCUUCAAACGGAUGGGAAGUCUUGUAAGACUUCUUAUGUUCAACAAUUUUGUUGGUAAACGUCUUUAUUCAGGUUUGUUUCUCCAAGUUUAUAAGUUAUAACCAUUAGGAGAGGAUAUUUAAUUUCUCUUUCAAAUAAGAUAUAUCAAUUAAAAUUUUUAAAAAUAUCAUAAAUCUAUUUUAAAUUGGUACAAGUUUAUGGACAGUGUUAGAGCUUCUGACUUUAAAUUUCUAAUAAAAAACUCGUAUUUAUAAAAAAAAAUCCGUUUGGUAUCUUUUAGUUUAAACAAAAACUUCAAAUUUAAAAAUUAUUUAACGUAGCUUUAAAAAAAAAACUAUUGAGUCUUUUCAUAAAUUUUCAAAAUUAUCCUUCAAAAUAUAUUUAUAUAUUUAUUUUUUUAAACAAUUAUUUUUUUUAUGGAAUUUACAUAUUUUAAAAGUUUUCAGCUAUCUUAUCAAAUAUUAAUAUAACAAAUAAAAAAGGUUGUGCUAUAAGUACACAUUCCCCUUCAUUCAUAUAAAUAAUCACAUAAAGGGUAUACAAACACUGUUACACUCAUAUGGAAAGGAGAGAAAAGAGGUACACAACAUUGGGGAUACGUAUAGAAAUUGCCAUAAAAAAUACAUAUUCCGACUAUGUUACCAGCUAUCAACUAUCAACUAAUUCUGCAAAACACAAUUUAUUAUAUUUUAUGUUGCUUCUGCCCAACACAAUUUAUUAUAUUUUAUGUUAUUACUUUUCAUAUCGAUUUUCCAACAAUAAAAAUAUGAUUAGUGUAUGUGGAUGGAUUUGAGCUUAUAUUCAAGGGUGGUGUUCUUGAUUCUUGGUCUUCUGGGGUGCAUAAAGUCCCUAUUCUCUGGAUGUAGAUGAGCUUUUUAAUGUUCAAAAUACAUAAUAAGAAUAAUAUAAAGAUAUUUCUUUAAGAAAUCAAAUAAAUAAAAUAACAUAAAAUAAAAUUGGUAGUUGUGUGGUUGUGUGGAUUGAUAUUGACUUUAUAUUUCAAAGAAACUAAGCAAUGAGUAGAUGCAAUUGGUUACCCUUUUUCCUUGUAAGUGCACAUGACUUUACCAACAAUAAAAAGAAACAUCUCAUUGGUUCAAAUCACAAUAAUUAACCCACCAAAAUCUCAACCCAUUUUGAACCCCAUACCUAACUUACAGUUUCUUUACAAAAUUAUAAAUAAACUAAAUGUCCCUAUUUGUAGCCCAUACAUAUUUUAUUUAUAGUUUCUUCAGAACAUUAUAAAGAAAGUAAACUAGAAAAUGUUGAUAUGACUUGUUAUUCCCUUUGGUUUUAAUCUCUAAAUGGUUUUUUAUUAUUACGAAUAGUGUUUUAUUUUGGAUUCGUCUUUUUCUUUUAAUAUCAUUAAAUAGAAUUUGUUAAUUCAUUUUAAAAUUACCAUUUUAUUCACGUUUUAUCGUUUUCAUUCAGAUUAUUAAUUUAAAUUGGGCCCACCAACCCAUUGAGGCAUUGACCUCUUAUCCUUCAUCUACCAUAACCAACGACAGAUUGAAGACCACUUUAAUCUAAAACUUCAACAAUUUAAUCAAACCAGUACAAAAUCAUGUUUGAAUUAUAUUAGAUGACAACCCAUUUUCACUAACUUGGAUGGCAAGAUGAAAAACAAAUUAGAAAUCGCAUCUGCACAUGCAAUGAGAACUUUAAUGCAACAAAAUUUUGUUUCUUGCAGAUCAUAUAGACUCAUACUUGUAUAAUGGACAAGUCGGUUCAAAGAUAUGAUGAGCCCAUAAUAAAAAGAAAAAUGAGCCCUCAAACGUCAUAAAUAUAAUAAAAAUUAGUUCGAAUUAAAAUGCUAUAAAAUUCACUAUUAAUAUUAAAAAAACAUAAAUACGUUCACAACAUUACAAAACAACUAAUUUAAAGGAAAAUAUUUCUCCUAGCCUUUCUAGAUGCAAAAUCAUUAAUAAUACUAUCCAAAUCAAUUUUAUCUAACAUGUCUUUCUCUAUACAUAAUAUUGUUAAUCCGUUCAACUUUCUUGUAAUAUCGACGAUCUUAGAUAAUUCUUCAAUAACAUUAACUUUGAAAAACUUCUCUCUGCAGAUGUAACAAUGACAGGAAUGGUUAGCAAAAUGUUAUAUGCAAUAAAAGUCUUUGGGUAACAAUCAACAGCUUUAACAAAGUCCAAAAUUUCAACAGCUGAAAUUAUAUCAUUAGGUAAAGUAAUUUGUUCAAUUCUGAAAAAAAAAAUUCACUUGAAUCCACAUCAGAAACAUUGUCUUUAGAAAAAGUAAUAGCAAACUUUAUACGACUUUCUUUAAGUUCAUUUUCACUUAAUGAUUUUAAUUCUUUGAAUCAUUUAAAAACCCAAAAAUACUUUCAAAGUUUUUUAAUUGUUCAAAUCUAUUUUUUAAUUGUUCAAAUUCACUUGAAUCCACAUCAGAAACAUUGUCUUUAGAAAAAGUAAUAGCAAACUUUAUACAACUUUCUUUAAGUUCAUUUUCACUUAAUGAUUUUAAUUCUUUGAAUCAUUUAAAAACCCAAAAAUACUUUCAAAGUUUUUUAAUUGUUCAAAUCUAUUUUUUAAUGAAACAAAUGUCAUAUCCACAACAACCAAAAAAUAGUGAACUUUUAAAUACUCUUCAACCGAUUGUGUUUCUUGUACAUGAUCACCUUUAUCAAAUUGUUUUUUCUAACAAUACGAAGUUUUGAUGGAAAUGUAGGCACUACGCCCAUAUCAAGUGAAAAGUUGAUAUGGGUACAUUUUUAUUCUUGAAUCUUUCCUUUUUAUGUCCAAAUUAGUCCCUUAAUGUGAAAAGUUGGCAAGUCAGUACGCGGGGCGUAUGCAUGAGUACGUGCAUCGUACUUCUGCACCAUGUAGGAUCGCGGAGGCCACCUAGUACACUAGGCGUACCCCUUGGUACGCUGGGCGUACUAGGAUAAGAUGCAAACCCUAAUAUUCUUUUGUCCCCUUUAAAUAGAACAUGAUGGCCUCAUUUCUAGCCACCCUUAUCAGCCUCUAACCCCCUCUAAAACCCUAAUUUCGUCUGUGUGGCUUGUGAGUGUGAUUUUGCAAGUUUUGAGUGAUUCUUGGCUCUUGUAGUUGAAGAAGAAGGUUAGAGAAGAAGAAGAAGGUUCCAUCAAGCUUAUAGAUCCACAAACCUCCCACCUUUGUAAAUCAUUUCAGGUAUAAAGCUUAUACCUUGGCUAGUGUUCUUCUAUAUAUCUUUAGUGCAAGUUUUGUGAGCUUAAGUCCCCAAAGUUUAGAACUUUUUGAGUCGGAGACUCUCCAAAGAGUUUAAGUUGUCCUUUUAUGCAUCCUUGGGCUUCUAUGUUGAUAAAAAUGUUUGCUUGAUCUUUCCUUUGCCCUCAUACAAGAGUAAUGUACCUUGGAAUUGAUGAAAUGAUGUUUUAGCCACUCUUAGCCAUGAAAAGGCUUAAAGCCCAAGACUUUAUUGUUUAAGAGGUCUUAAUUUAGUCAUAUUUAUGGAUGGAGUGGUUAUCUUAACGAAUUCAGACCAAAAAGUAAGGAAAAAGGAAGUUCAUGGAAUACGUCGUGCAUACUCCCAGCUACACACAACAUAGCUCGGUGAUGCCCCGUCGCAUGAUUAGCCAGGUUUUACGCCCAACAUUUACACCCAGUGUACUCGUUGGGUGUUGACUUUUUCUUAUUUUGACUUUUGGUCAAAGUUUAGGGUUUUGGACCAAGGGAAGGGCAAAAUGGUCCUUUUUGCCCUUAGUAGGUUUAACUGUGGACUUUGGACUCGUGAGUUGUUUGAACCUUAAUCUAAUUAAGGUUAAUUAUUUGUUAACUAGGUGGAGUCUAGAUCCAACAGUUCGGGUGCGAGGUUUUCGUGUCAUUAGUAUCAGGUGAGUCCCCUCACUUACUUUUAUAUGUAUGGUAGGAUAGCUGUAAUAUUAUGAAAAGUUGGGUCUAGCUGUUAAGUGAUGUUAUGUUAUGUUAUGUUAUGCUAUGUUAUGUUAUGUUAUGUUAUGUUAUGUUAUGUUAUGUUAUGUUAUGUGUUGAUAUGAUAAUUGUUUGUGACCGGGGCUGCUGAUAGCCAACUAAGGGUUGCGAAUAACCUUAUGAUCAUGUUGUUAGCAUACUAGGACUGUUGAUAGUCCCAUGGUUGCAGAUAACACAUAAUUGUUUACUUAUGUUGUGUUAUAUGUGGUAUCUUUGGGGAACUCACUAAGCUUUGUUCUUACAGUUGUUGAUUUGUUUGUGGCAAGUACUUCACAGGACCACGGGAAAGCGAAUAUCUGAUUGUACACGCGCACUAGGAAUUUAUUACUGGGACAUGAUCUUUAUGUACUCUAAUAACUAUGACAUCUGUGUUGUGAAAUGAAUUGUAAUUAAUCUGCCUGAUAAACUAUGUUUUUGGAAGUUUUAAAAAUGAAAAUUUUGGUCUAAAAUUUGAGAUGUUGCAAUUUGGUAUCAGAGCCUUGGUUUGAGGGAUUUGGAUGAGCCUUUGGGUGAUUCCAAACUCAAACUGAGGGUUUGAAUUUUAAGAACUUAACAAGGAAUGAAGACUUUUACAAGAGGAAAAACCCAGAUAAGCUGUGUGUACAAUCGACCAGUGCUCGAGCGGCAGUUUCCCAAAAAUACCUCAUUUUCAUUUUGGUAUUGCAGAGCAGACAUGUUGUAUUAUGAGCAAAUAGGAUUGCAUGCUAGUAAAGUGUAGGCUAAGGAAUCUUGCUGAAAUAGUAUAAAUGUUGCUUGAUUAAUGAUGCCUUAGCCAAGGAAUUCAUUCCUUAUUUAAUUAUUUGUUUGGCGUAUGGUUUAUAGUUGUACAUAGAUAAGAUUUUAUAGCAUUAGAAUGCAUGAUUUAGCCUUUCUUCAUGUUCCUUGUUUGGUUGUGGAUUUGAGGUAGGAUCAUUUAUUUGAGUGUCUAUCGAGUCUCGUACUAUGUACAAUUGGCAUACUUGAGGCAAAUGGCAAGGGCAACAGAGAUCUCGUGAGGUAGAGUAGUGUUGGGAGUGGUCUAGAACUAGUAUCUAGACAUAUGUUGAGGUUCUUAGGAACUAGUAGGGCGAUUCCAUAACUGAUGUGAGGAGGUAGAGUUCUUGGGGUCUCGAAGGUGCGACCCGAGACGAAUACGAAUUAGUGUAGAAGGUAGUAUUGAGCCUGUACUAGUGAAAGCACCAGAUCCUUAUACGACUCAAGAAAUAACCUCGAGGGACUAGAGAGCAUGUAGGGGUGAGGGUCGAUAAAUGUGUUUAGCUUGUGCUGAUAAUUUUUCUUAUGCAUUUCAGUAUGGUGGUUACCCGAGGUUCAGGCUCCAGCGACCCUAAGAGGUCAAGUGCCAGUGAUGAUGAGAUGCGUAGGAUCAUUGCCGCAAAGGUGGCCGCGUCAAUCCGGAAAGCUAUCCCGGAGAUGUUUGGCUCUAUAAAGACCACGCUGAUUGAGACCUUUGAGGAGCGUUAUGUCAUUGUUGCUACCGUAGCCACCAUAACUCUCACUGCUGCGAGACCGUUGGGGGGGUGAUUCGUUGUGGUACCGGGAGUUCACCAACACAAAGCCACCCGAUUUUGAUGGGACCCAGGAUCCGAUUGCCGCUGUGAUAUGGAUCUCUGAUGUUGAGGGAUGUUUCUAUACCUGCUCCUGUCUGGAGAUUUUGAGGGUUUCGUUUGCAUUGAACCUGAUUCCCUUGGGAGUGAAGGACUGGUGGAAGUUUGUGAACGCUGACUACACACCUGUAGAGCAUGUUGCGAUGACUUGAGAGAGGUUUACUGCGAUGUUCAGGGAUGAGUUUGUGCCUACAGUUGAGCGGGAAAGGUUAGCCCAUGAGUUCCUAUUUCUCAAGCAGAAGACAGAGACGGUGACUAAUAUCACCAAGAUGUUUCAUGAGAAGGCUUUGUUUUUCCCUGAGCAGGUAUCGACGGAGCAGGCUCAUGUUUCCCGGUAUUUGAGUAUUAUGAGGAGGGAUAUCAGGGAUUUUGUGGCGAAUACAAUGUAUAGGACAUUGGCUGAGCUGCAGACCAAUGCCAAGAAGAGAGAGAUCAAACUGCAGACUCAGGUUAGGGAGGAGAGGGAGGACCAGGUGAUGUGUGUGAAACUAACUAGUUUUAAUCCUACUAACUUAGACACAAAAUAAACACACGAAAGGCAGUGUACCUAUCGAUUAGUAAUAUAGUUCAAGCGAGUAGGGUAUCGAACAUAGGGAACGGUAAACAAUUAAAAUAAAUGCUAAUAUUAUCUAAAUAAAUCAAGUAAAAAAGGGUUUUCUCUAGUUUUACAAGACUAGAAACUUAAAUACUUAACUAACACUUAAACUAAGCAACUAAUAGCUAAAGCAAAUAACCAAUUAACUAAAUUCAAUAAUGAAGAAGACUUAUGUUUAGGUUUUGAAUCAUCUAUUCCUAUGGUUGAUUUUAUGACAAGUGCAAUGGAUUAAUUGGCUUUGGCUACCGAUUAGUGUGAUUAGGUUCAUGUUCGCUAUUACUAAUCCUUAGAAAACCAAUUAAUUCAAGCAAUGGCCAGUUGUCUAAAUUAAUGAAUUUCCUAGGUUGUUGAUUCGAGUUAAGUAAGACUUGUAAUUAGCUAAUCAAAUUGGUGAUUCAAUUAUCCUCUUGUUGAUGGUGUAUCACACAAGCUCACACAUUAACUUACCUAUCUUCUAUUUAAUUCUAGUUUCACAUUCGUUAUUCCUAGACAUAUAACUAUGUGGUCACAUAAAUCAUAUGAAAUUAAUAACUAAGAGAUGUUCAUACAACUUAAUUACUGAUUUAUUAACAGAGAAUAGUUGUAAUUAACACAUAAGGUUCUUUAACAAGCAUAACAAAACAAAAUCACCAAAUUAAAUUAAUCCAAUCAUAAAAUCAAACCAUAUUCAUAAAAUCAUCUAUCCUAAACAAAAGUUAUGAGUUUUUAGCUCAUAUCUACAGAAAAUAACAAACUAAAAACAUAAUCUAAUGAUUGAAACUUGGUUCAUGCAAAAGAUUAAGAUAAAAGUAAUGUGUUAUUGCCUUUGAUCUUCUUCCAAAUUGAUAUCUAAGUUGAAAUCUCGAAAACCACAGCUUCUAAGAACCCUUCUGGCCUCCAAAAAUCGUCCUAAACUUCCCCCGUUCGUUAAGGUUCGAAUGAGAAGCGUUUCUAUGUAUAUUUUAUGAAAACAGGGGCGACUCGGCGAGUCCAGUGACCUACUCGACGAGUCCAUCACUUAAAAUCCCGUGUACGGCAAGGCAGCAUCAAGAAUCGCGAAACUUCUGACCAACUCGUCGAGUCCGUUUGGAAUCAGCAUUUUCUCAAAACACGAAAGUCGUCCGAAAUUGUGUCUAGUUUUCAGAACAUUUUGAAUAUCUUCAAUCGGAGUUAUGGUUCAUGAGGUAUGGCCAAAACACUGACGAGGGGUCAAGCUGUCCAGCAACAUCCUUCUUUCUUCAAAAUCCAAGAUCCAAGCCUCCAAUCGCUAGUUCCGCUUCCUUUUCCAUCCGAGCAUGUCAUUGUUGCUGAAAAAUGAAAUGAUAAACUAAUUAAGCACCUUUUUUCAUUAAAUGAGACAAAAACAACAUAAAGUAUUAAGAUAAUGCAUAAAUUAUAUGACUAAAUAUGCCCAUAUCAAAAUACCCCACACUUGACUUUUGCUUGCCUCCAAGCAAAACUGAAUUUUAGCACACUAAUAUCAUAUAAGACAAUCUCAAUCGAACCCAUCUAUUAUGUCAAGACCGCAAUGCAUGCAUUUGUGUCUAAAAUUUUUCCUAAGGAACCCCCCAUACUCUAAAUACUCACAAUCCUCAUAAACACUCGCCCACUUCUUUUGAACAACGCUCAUUUUAUGCAUCCCUCUGAAUCCAUCCAUAGAAAACUGCCUAACCUCAAGGUAUUUUUGGUCAAGCAACCCAAUCAUACAUAAUCUAGAAAAAAUUACAACUUUUUUCGAUACCACUAUGAAGCUCUUUGGAAUUCUUCACUUCUUUAAUAAUUUGAUCUUGAUUUCUUUGAAUUCACCACCUUUUUGUUUGAUUUUUGGUAUCUUCAAAUUUUUGAAUUUCUUUAGAACUUUGAUCUUUUGAUCUUCAUUUUGAUUGCUCCAAAAUUUUUACAACUUUUCUUGUAAUUCUCUAUCUUUUUUUUUCACAUGUAACUCACUUUUUUUCACUCAAAACCUACAUGCUUAAGCAGGGGCGCUCAACUUCAACCUUUAUUGGUUAAAAAUAAUAAUUUUCCUGGAUACAUUUCAAGUACACGAUGCUAAACAUAUCGAAUCCCUCAAACUAAGUGAGGUUGUGUUUUUGUCCCAUGAUUUCACUAGAAUAAGGGAGGCCACAAAUGCAUUAUAACGUAUAUUGGUUCAACUAAACAUUUGGGUGUUCAAAGAAUCAUCGAACAUAAUACUAGCAUGAACCCUAAUUGCUUUUACCAAAAUUUUCUAAAUUAACCCUAGCAAUUUGUAUGCAAAUUUUUUUUUUCAAAAUUUAACUAAAAUUCUAAAAUUUCAACUAAUGUAACCAACCCCUACCCCACACUUAGUUUAUGAAAUGUCCCCAGUGCAUAUUAAAACAAUUAAAGAACAUAAAAGUAAAGAGAGAAUUGGAACAAACUCCCCUGCGAUAGUAGUUGUGAGGUUGAUCUUCUUCAUGUAAAGCUCCAACUUCAGCUGACUCUGGUAUGAGAACAGCGCAUCCAUGCCUUGGGCGUCAAAUCUCGUGUGGUUGACAACUCUAAAUAUGUGGGAAAAAACAUCUUGGAAUCGCCUAGAAAUGGUCUUCAAAAAUAUAGCCAAUUGCCACCUUGAAUUGAAUCAAAUCGGCGACUCAAAGAUAAAAGAAUGAUAAACUCGUCGAGUUUUAUAUGGAGACUCUCCGAGUUGAAUCUUCAUAUGGGCAGAAAUCGUGAAUUUUCGCUGGAACUCGUCGAGUUAUAAGGGUGCACUCGACGAGUUUUCGGCUCUGAUCGUGCAAAUUCUUCUUUUUGCUUCAGGUCUGUUUUUGAGGUCAAAGAGGGUAUUAAGGUAAUACACCUCCGUAUAUUCUUAAGUGACGAGACUCCUUUUUAACCAUUAAAACCAUCGAACUUAUAAAAUCACUCAAAUCUUCUAAUAUUCUCGUCCACGACUCGACCCCUCACUUUAUUUCCUCACGCUUUAUUCAUUCAUUCUAUCCCCACCCUAUAUUCUGAAAAGAUCAAAAACAAAUACCAAGUAAUAACAAAAAUAGCAAAAUAGAAAUCCUAAAUUAUCCCCAAAUAAUAAAAGUUUAGAAAGAAAAAGAAAAGCAAACUCUAAUGACGGGUUGCCUCCCGUAAGCGCUUCUUUUUGUGCGAGUCUUUAGCUGGACUCCCAACUUAAUAAACUUCUAAUAAAUUCGAUGCCCAUCCAUCCAUUGCAUUAAAUAUUUUCUUUGGACCAAUGUAACAUCCCAAAAUUCAAGACCAAAAAUUUCUUUUUAAUAAAACAUUACUUUAACCAAGACAUCAUUCCAAAACAUAAUCUGAGUAUAAGUUUUCAAAACACAUGUUUAUUAUCAGAGUAAACAUUCACAGGCUGACUAAUCUAUGGUGUGUGCCAUGCGAUCACCCCGAGCUCCUCCCUCCGCUACCGGAAGUACCUGAAAACAAAACUGAAAACCGUAAGCACGAAGCUUAGUGAGUUCCCCACCUUACCACAUACCAUGCAAAACCACAUACUGCACAUACUGGGCCACGCCCGCUAUCCUGGGCCUCGCCCUCUACUUCGGGCCUCGCCCGCUACAACGGCCCCGCCGCUCCAGGCCCCGCCUGGCUUCGAGCCCCGCUCGGAUACAGAUCUGUUUCACUUAGGCCUCGCUUGUCACAGGGCCUCGCCCACUAACAUAUAAUAGUACAUAAACAUAUCACAUAACAUUACAUAAACUAAACAUAUACUAACAACUCUUGCUCUAAGGCCUCGCCUAUCUCUGGGCCCCGCCCGAGUCCUGCUACUGAUGAGUCAUGGAACCUCGUCCAUACUCCUGCUGAUAGUGAGGUACGGGCCCAGCCCACCCUCACUCCUUUCCUAACUUGGGCCUCGCCCCUGCUCUGCUGCUACUGAGAUGUGGAACACCAUCCACACUCUGCUAUUGGUGAGAUACGGGACCUCGCCCACACUCACCUCCCUACCAGGCACAUACAAGUAUCACACAGACAACAAGUAUAAACUAUCACAUAAACCGCUCCUUGGGCACCCGCCCUCUAUCAUUGGACCUCGUCCGAAUAUCAUACUAGCAUACUGUGCCUAGGGCUAACCCCCGGGUCUUCUACUCAUAACUACAUGGGCCGGCAUUGUGGCCGUAGACCCAUUCAUACAAAGGGAAACUCACCUGAUACUGCUGAACUGCUGCUGCUAACCCCUUUGACCGCUACCUGACCACUGACUCCGAACUGCUGCUCCGCUAGCUCCCCGAGCUACCAAUAUCAACAUAACACUUAGUCUAACUGACCUUCAAAGGUCAACCAAGUCAACUCUGGUCAAAGUCAACGUCCUGGUCAAAGUCAACCUUCCAGGUCAACCCUACUCGUCGAGUCACCCUACUGACUCGCCGAGUUCAUAAGUCCAGAGUCCUUCCACUCGCGACUCUACUCGCCGAGUCAGCCCCUGACUCGCCGAGUCUACUGAUUCCCGAUUCCUGUCCUGUCCAACUCACUGAGUCCUGGCUCGACUCGCUGACUCGAGACUUAACUCGAAGGGUUUGGGACCACGCGACCUGACUCGCCGAGUCUAAGAACAGACUCGCCGAGCACACGGCAAUCUUCAUCCAACUCGCCGAGUUGUUCAUCCAACUCGCCGAGUUCAUGCCUAUCUUCAUCCGACUCGACGAGCUGUUCAUCCCACUCGUCGAGUUCCUCCUCAUCUUCAAGCUACUCGCCGAGUCCACUCGAAGGACUCGCCGAGUCCAAUAAGAUCCACUUACAUGCAGAGGACUUCCGAGUCAUGCAUGGACUCCAAACUGUAGAUCUACCCUUCCCAAGCCUAUUCCCCACGUAAAGUUGCAAACUUUACGUGUAGAGAGGGAGAUCUAGGCAAAAUGCACCCAUAACUAGGGUUUAAGACCAAGAGGCUCCAAAAUCCACCCAAUGGCUGAUACUUUACGGGAUUCUAAACCAACACAAGCAUGGAUCUGAGGUAGCAACCUCAGAUCUGGACCUCAAGCUUGAAAUUGAUCUUAGGCAUGGCUUAAAAGCCCCAAAACUCAUAACCAAAGAAGAUCUAAAGGAGGGAAACGAAUUGAUACCUUCCAAUGCUCUGAAAUGCUCCCCAAACUUCAGAUCUAAAGCCACUCCUUGAUGCUUCAAAGAUUCCCACUUCUUCUUCUUCUUCUAAAUCACUCAAAAAUGGCCAAAAGCAUAAAUCAUCACAAUGGAGGCUUAGGGUGCGGCGUUCUGGGUGUGAGAGGCAGUAAAGGAGCCCUAGGAAGAAGAUUGAGACGUUUAAAUAGGCUCCAAGCCCCGGAUUUAGGGUUUUCCUCGCACAGACCAGACUCGCCGAGUCCACUUGGCCGACUCGCCGAGUUGGUCACUUACUCCUCGACCCGGAUCCCGCUCCGACUCGCCGAGUCCUUCCUUGGACUCGCCGAGUCCCUCCUAAAUUUAGGGUUUCCUUUACUUUCUUGGCUUUCAAAAUCUUGGGUGUUACAACUCUCCCCCACUUAAACUGAACUUCGUCCUCGAAGUUUACCAUGGCCCACCGCCUGCGAUCUGCCUCCAAUACCCAACACCAGCCGCCUACCUGCGCUGGUCUUCCACCUGGUCAUUCUGACUAACAUCAACCUCGCGGGUAAACCUCGGGUCAAACCUGACCCUGAACAACUUAGAAACAGAACUUACUCAACCGAUAAUCCUUCUGGUACUCACCGAGUACUGCACUGAACCCGCAGAGGUUCUCUACUUCUUUCCUUGCGCAAUUUCCUUGCCAUCCCAAGGCAAAGCCUCAUAACCGACUUUUCGUCUGACACUGUGAAGGUCCUAUCCUUCACUAACUCCAUCACUGGUCGCUCUCAGCGACUUCCAAAGAAACCUCGACCACCUAACUGCUCAAUCAAUCCUGCCAUCCAGGCACUACAAACCUGGGAUCCCCGAUCCCCUAACUUGACACUAAGGUCCCUACCAGGUCCCACCUGCGCUGCUAAAACUCACGGGCCUCGCCCACGGGUCCCACCCGCCUCUAUCCUUCUAGUCUCACUAGUCUAGUCACUCUCGCUCGGGCCUAGCCCACGGGUCUCCCCCAACCAUACUACUGAGCAACCCUGCUCCCAGGUCUCAUCUACACUGCUAAUCUCAUACGGGCCUCGCCCACGAGUCUCACCCAAUUAUAUCCUGGAGCGGCCUCUCCCAAGGUCUCACCUCUCUAGAGCUAUACAGGCAACUCCCUAUCAUUCUCAUCCACUACCCAAUCUUGAUCCCUACCUGAUCACUAGGAGAUAAGGGCCUCGCCCCAACUCCACUAACGGAACUACUAAGGAAUGCUACGGCUUACCCAUAGGCUUACAUCACCAUCCAUUGCUGACCUCUAGUGAAUGCUACAGCUGCCCUGUAGUCUUACAACACUUCCACUACUGACUGCUAAUACGAAGGCACCCACGUGCCAUCAGCUUCUCAAGAUCCUUAUUCCGACUCCCGCGAGUCCUUCGGGCGAUCCACAACCUGAAUUCUCAACCAUAACUAACCAUUACCAUCACACGCACUAGCUGAUGUGGAGUUUCUCAAACUCCCAACCCUGAAAUCCUCAAUCCAUCAAACGCUGAACUACUUCUCUUCCCUCUCGGAGGUCACGUACUCAUUCUGGGUCUGCGUGCUCCUCUCUGGGCACACCCGGAGGAUUCUCCCCCACUUCGAUCCUGCUUACCCCUUGCUGCUCAAUACUCAAAGAGAUCCCGAUCUUUGCUACCAUUCCAUAACCCAUCUACUGAGGAACCCAAGCCCGCCAUAGCUAGGGAUUUAGCCAAUCCAUCACAAUCACUGCACCACUCCGAACUAGCGAAACGUACCAAAUCCCUCCCAAGCAUGCUACAGUUACUGCAUCCUUCGAAACCUUCUUCAAUAGAGCACAUCCCCUAACUACCAUACAAAUAUCCAAGGUAUGCAGAUGGCAUAUAACUCGAUCACAAUCAACCAAUCAAAAUAAAAUACUUUUACCGCUAAUGAUGCAGAACCAUAACAAUGAAAUCAUGCACAAAUAAAAGAACUGAAAAUGGGAAAUUGCAUACCUGCAACGUCCGGCGUUGCUCGCGUCUCCAAGGUCGUCAUCUGAAAAGCCCUGCUCCCUGCUGCAGGUGCCUCUACCCGGCCCUGACGGCCAUCCGUGAUCCUCAAGGUUGCAGGGGCGGGUGCCAUCACCCGUCCUGCCGAAGACAAACUGGGGCACUGGGCCUUCUUGUGGCCCCGCUGGUUGCAAUGAAAACAUAUCAUGUCUGAUCCCUGCGCGGCGGUAACAGUACAAUCCCUGCUAAAAUGACCAGUCCGACCGCACUUGAAACAGCCAGACUCACCACCGCUACCACUCCUGCACGCGCCCCCGUGCGCCCUGCCACACUUUCCGCACCGACUGCGGUCCUGAUGAUCCCUCGAUCUCGAAUCCGAUCCCUUGGGCCUUUUGCCCGGACCCGUAGCUACCUGAACCUCAUCCGGCUUCCUCUUCCGGAUCUGCUCCAAAUCAAUUUCCCUCUCUCUAGCCCGAGAAAUCAUAUCUUCCAGCGUCUUACAGUUGGAUCUGCUCACGAACUCCCUGAUGUCAUCCCUCAACAUCUCAUGGUACCGAGCCUUCUUCAUCUCCUCAUCCGCGACAUACUGCGGUACAAGCAAUGGGGUCCCUAGCCCCAUGAUAAUCUGGUGCCCCGCAGGCUCUGAACUCUCAAAAUGUCAAGGUACGCGCUCCCAUCAAUGUCAUCAUCUCAGUACGGAAGGCUCCCAGCCUCUCAUCCAAGAUCUCCAGUAUGCCCUCCUUGACCGUGCCAAAGAUCACAUGAGUCUAAGCUAAAAUACUGCACGUAACCUCAGCUGAUAUCAACUCUCUCAUCCGCUCCUCGAGCUGCUCGGCCCCUGAACCUGAGCAUGAUCCCUCUCUGGCGCCUGAUCUGCCCGCUAGUCUCUCUCGCAAUGUCAUCAUGCUGAAAAAAUAUACUACAACCACUAUCAGAAUACUCAUCACUGAUGCGAGACCAAACAUGCCCUACCAGGUUCCCGGUCUUGUCUCUGCCCUUCCCGAAUCGAGUACGAGGGACCAUGUCGGUCUAGGUCGGCUUGCUAUCUCUAUGGAAAGGAGGUGCAUAUGGCUAAGGAAUGCCCUAAGGGAUUUCGAGUUUGCUUUAGCUGUAAUCAGACGGGCCACGUGAAGGCCGAUUGUCCAUAGAUUGCAUCCAAUGCAGUUCAGACUCCCGCCAAAGUGAAACUGCGUAUCACCGAUGGUUGGAAGGGGAAGGCCGAGGCACCGAGGGCUCGGGGUAGAGCCUUUCAGUUGACAGUAGAGGAGGCCCGUGCAGCUCCAGAUGUCGUGGCUGGUAUGUAUUCAUUAUAUUUUUCUGUUGAUUUAUUUAUGUUGCUUGUAUUGUCAAUUGUGUAGGUACAUUCCUUGUGAAUUUUGUUCUUGCACUUGUGCUAUUUGACUUGGGUGUGGGUCGGUCUUUUGUGUCAUCCUCUUUUAGUUGCAGUUUUAGUAUUCUGUGAGAGGUCUUGGGCAAGCUCUUGAGGGUCUCGAUAUCGGAUGAGCGUCCUGUAUCAACUACGGAUGUCUAUUGGGGUUGUGUGCUAGAGAUUUUCGGUGUUGGAUAUCUGAUUGAUCUCAUCCCUAUCUCGAUGGGGGAUGUUUAUGUGAUCAUGGGUAAGGAUUGUUUGAGUAAAUUUGGGGCUCUGAUCGACUGCGAGUGUCACUUAGUGACAAUACCAGAUCCUAGUGGGGGAGUGCUAACUAUCUAUGGCGAGGGUACUAGAUCGGGAUCACCCUUCUAUUCUGCCGCCAGGGCAAGGCACAGUUUAUAGCAUGGGUGUAUGGGCUUUCUGGCAUAUGUGCUGGAUACUCAGGUUUAGAUGAAAGGAUCAACUUAUUUUCCUGAUGUUCCGGUGGUAUGCGAUUUCCCUGAUGUUUUCCCAAGGAGUUACCGGAUGUGCCUCCUGAGAGGCAGGUGGAGUUCCAGAUCGAUCUGAUUAUGGGUGCGACAUCGAUCACCAAGGCACCGUAACAUCUUACACCUCCUAAGAUGCAAGAAUUAUCCUCUCAACUAUAGGAGCUGUUAGGGAAAGGGUUCAUUAGAUCGAGCAGUUCUCCGUGGGGAGCUCCGAUCCUUUUCAUCAGGAAGAAAGACGGUUCGCACCGGAUAUGCAUUGAUUAUCAAGAACUGAACAAGUUGACGGUGAAAAAACGUUACCCUUUGGCGAUGAUAGAUGAUCUUUUUGACCAAUUUCAGGGGGCAUCUUGGUUUUCCAAUAUUGAUUUGAGGUCCGGCUAUCAUCAGAUGAGGGUACGAGAGGAGGAUAUUCAGAAGACGACAUUCUGAACUCGUUGUGGGCAUUAUGAUUUUGUGGUGAUGCCUUUUGGGCUCACCAAUGCACCGGGAACGUUCAUGGACCUCAUGAACCGGGUGUGUGGGCCCAUGUUGGAUCGAUCAGUGAUCGUUUUUAUCGAUGACAUUCUGGUAUAUUCGAAGACUAGGGAGCAACAUGAGGAGAAUCUGCAAGAGAUUCUUAGGGUUUUGAGGAUGGAGAGGCUUUAUGCCAAAUUCUCCAAGUGUGAUUUAAGGUCAAGGGAGGUUCAGUUUUUGGGGCACCUCGUCAAUCAGAAUGGUAUUUUGGUCGACCUAGUCAAAAUUAAGGCGGUGAUGCAGUGGGAGGUACCGAGAUCUCCAUCUAAGAUUCAUAGUUUCCUUGGUUCAGAGGGCUAUUAUCAGAGGUUCAUCAGAGAUUUCUCCAAGAUUGUUGUUCCUCUCACCAAGUUGACCAAGAAGGAUGUUUCCUUUAGUUAGGGGCCUGAGCAGCAAGCAUCAUUUGAGACUUUACGUCAGAGGUUGUACGAGGCUCCAGUGCUUGCCCUCCCGGAGGGAGUUGAGGGUUUCAUAUUCUAUUGUGAUGCAUCCAUUGCGGGAUUGGGUGCAGUGUUGAUGCAGAGAGGGCAUGUGAUAGGAUACGCUUUGAGGUAGAUGAAGCCUCACGAGGUGAGGUACCCUACUCAUGGUUUGGAGUUAGGGGUGGUGCUUUUCGCCGUCAAGAUUUGUCGCCACUAUCUCUAUGGUGUUCGGUUGUAACGCCUGUGUUUCUGGGCUUGGCAUUUUUAUCAAUGUAAUAGUAUAGGUUAACCUUUGUAACCCGUUUUGAAAUAAUAAGAAUGUGUUAUUCGAGUAUUAUGUGUUUUGUGCUUAAUUGCUUAAUUAUGUGGUCUGAUUAAUUAAGAAUAAAAAUAAGCGUCAAAAUUUAAGUGUAAAAUGAACUUAAUAUCUUUGGUUAAUGUUGUAGUAGUUGAAACGAGGUUUCCGAAUAUAUAUAGAACGCCCAAAUCUGACUUCGUAUGAGGAAGUUAUGAUUUAUCGAAGUUUCGACUUAGUGGUAUGCAGCCUGAAAUACUCGAUUUGAGAUCGAGCGGUUUUUAGCCGAAGCAUUCUAAACGAGGAUCGAAGGUCUCGUUGUUGGUAUCGAAGCGAUAAAAAUUUAGGCGAGAACGGACGUCAAACGAAGAAUUUAUGAAUUUAUAACGAAGUUUUUCUGUCGCGGCCAAUUAAAAAUAAAUAAUAAAAAUAAAGUCAAAAUUAGCCGACGGAGUCUAAACGAAAGUUGUAGAGCGUAGUCUCACCUUCGCGUGGAUAUAAAGAACGUCGAAAACGGAGUUCGUAUGAAGAAGAUAUGAAUUUCCGAAGUUUAUUAAAUAAUUUGUAUUUAUUUUUAAUCUUUAAUUCCGGUAUUAUCCGAAGAGGAGUCAGCGGUCCGAUCCGANGUGUCGACAUCGCAACAAGUGGCUUCGGAUACGUAAGCAGUGACGUUUCUCGGACCAGUACGUCCCGCGUACUCCGAGGCUCCAGCCUCAUAUAAAUAGGAUGCGAGGGCAUCCGACUAUUUUGCUAAUUUCUUCUCUUCUCUCUCCCGUUUUGCUUCGAUUUUCGUGCCAGAAAUACCCCGAAUCCCCGGUAUUAUUCUCGAGCCCCGAGGCAAGUCCCGAGAUCCCGAAGAUCCCGAGAAGUGCGGUUCCCGAGUCGAAGCUCUGCCCGCGAGAAGUUCGAUUUUUGUAGAGAUCUUCCAGAUCUGCUGAGGAUUACUACUUCUGCAAGCCGUAGUGCUGUCCGAUCAUCUUCUGAUCAAGUGAGUGUAUACUACCUUUCAUAAACACGAUAAUAAUACAAGUAUGGUUUGAGUGUAUUAAGUAUAUUGUUGUUUAUGUGUAUAAUUUUGUUGUUAUAAGUAUGAAUGUAUAUUCAUUCUCUUCUAUCUCAUAGAUCUGAUUUACUUUCUAUGAAAUACGUGUUAUGUGGGUGUGCCUCAUCUGUUAUGUGGAAUAUGUAUUGAAUGAAAAUGAUAUACAGGCUUUAAACUAUGUAUGAAAAUAUAUAUUUUUAUCUACUAAUAUGUUGGGUAGAACAUGGGUAGAUAGUUGGUGUGUAAUAAACAGAUGAGAGGCCUCGAUGUUGUUGUUGUUGUUGAUCUAGUUAUUCAGCGGAGUAUGGAUAACGACCACGGACUCUUUCUAGACAGUCCAGUGGAACGCUAGCAGGUUCAUAACCUGUAGGUGUUGUGAACGAUGUGUUCACUGGUGUACUCUAUCCCCCUCAUGGUUGCCUUUAGGAUAUCUAUUGUCGAGGAAACCCCUUCGCAGUGAUGUCCGUCCCGAUGAAAAUCCUAGAUUAGGUCCCUUGAGAUAGAUGUUAUUUUAGGGACGUAAAGUGAGGAUAACGGGAAUGGGUAAUCGGGAUAGUGAUUGGUUGGUGAAAUUAAAUAUAACUUAUUUAUUGUGGGUUGAAAACCCUAUAUGCUCACCAGGCUCCCAAGCCUGACCCACUCAGUUUUAUUUGUAUUACAGGUAGUGGCGCGAGGGCAUAAGAUGGUUGAAUCAUCAAGUUGUUUUGUUUACAAGUCUGUAUAUGUAUAUAUUUGUUGAAUGACUUGUAAUGUUAUCGUUUAUGCUUUAUGGUCUGUAUCGGAACAUGACAUCCCGAGUUUUGAUUAUAUAAUGAAAAUGCAUCUCUUGAUGAAAUGCUUUGAUAAAUAUUAUUUUAUCAUGUUUUGUUUUGGGAACAAAUUCCGCAACUCUUUCAAAUCAAAAGGAUUUACUCUGAAAUUAUUUAAAAGCAUAAAUGAAAAUCGGUCUUUUCUGGCCGAGAUUUUGGGGAUGUCACAUCGGCGUACCAUCUACACUGACCAUAAGAGCCUGAGAUACCUUGUGGAUCAGCCUAAUUUGUACAUGAGGCAGAGGAGCUGGUUUGAUGUAGUGAAGGACUAUGAUUGUGACAUAUUGUAUCAUCUAGGAAAUAUCAAUGUGGUGGCCGAUGUCUUGAGCCGGAGGGCAGCGGGUACCUCGAUGCGAGAUGUAUGUAUGAGGAUGACAAUGACGACUCCAGAUUUAGAGAUCAUCAAGGAAGCACAAUCAGAGGCCAUUAAGGAAAAUAAUAGUAAGAGUGACGGGUGAUCGGUCAGGUUUCAGCAUUUGAUAUGGACAAUAGAGGGCUUUUGACUCUCCAUGGGCGAGUAUGGGUGCCAUAUGCAGGAGGGGUGACAGAUUUUUAUGGAGGAGACCACAAAUCGAGAUUUUCUAUCCACCCGGGGCCACAAAUAUGUAUCUUGACCUGAAGCAUAAUUAUUGGUGGCCAUGUAUGAAGAAAGCUGUGGCAUGGUUUAUGGAUAGAUGUUUGACCUGCCGAAAGGUCAAGGCGGAGCACCAGUGCUCUCAUGGCAAGUUGCAUCCUAUGGAGGUUCCCCUAUGGAAGUGGGAACAUAUCAUUAUGGAUUUCAUUAUCAAGCUACCAAUGACUGGGAGGGGUGUUGACACUAUCUGGGUGAUAGUGGAUCAUUUAACAAAGAGUGCUCACUUCUUAGCCAUUAGUGAGAACUCUUCUGCGGAGAAGUUGGCCGGGAUUUAUGUUCAUGAGGUGGUGGCUUGGCAUGGGGUGACGACUUCUAUUGUUUCUGAAUGGGAUGUGUGCUUUACUUCCAGAUUCUGGAAGAGAUUCCAUGAGGAGUUGGGUACUCGGCUACAUUUUAGCACCGCGUACCAUCCGCAGACGGAUGGGAGUGAGCGGAAGAUUCAUACGCUCGAGGAUAUGCUGCGUGCGUGCGUUAUUGAUUUUGGUGGGAGUUGGGACUUCUAUCUUCCUUUAGCUAAGUUCUCUUAUAAUAACAUCCAUCAUGCCGGUAUUGGUAUGCCUCCAUUCAAGCUCCUUUAUGUUCGGAGGUGUCGAACUCCUAUUUGUUGGGGCGUAGUGGGACAGAGGGUCAUGGGGAGCACGGAAGUCGUGCUCAAGACAACUGAGCUUAUACAGCAGGUUCGGCAGAGACCUUUGACCGCGCAGAGCCAUCAAAAGAGUUAUGCGGACCGGAGACACUCUGAGUUAGAGUUCCAAGUGGGGGGUUUUGUGUUCCUGAAGGUGCCACCCUUGAAGGGUGUUAUCCGCUUCAGGAAGCGGGGCAAGUUGGGCCCCAUAUUCAUUGGUCCUUUUCGAGUGUUGGCCCGGGUGGGCAAGGUGGCUUACCGGUUUGACCUACCAGACGAUUUGAGUCAGAUCCAUGAUACCUUCCAUGUAUCUCAGCUGAGGAAAUGUAUAGCCGAUGAGGCGGCUAUGGUUCCCAUGGAGGACAUUCAGGUCGAUGAUCGCCUGAAUAAUGUAAAUAAUCUUGUAUCCAUCUUGGAUCGUAACGUGAAAACCUUGAGGAACAUGGUCGUGAACUUUGUCAAAGUUUGGUGGUAGUACCGCAAAGGUUCAGAGUGGACUUGGGAACCGGAGUACAAGAUGCGUGAGCAGUAUCCUGAGCUAUUUCCGGAGGAUGACUUUGAGGGAGAAGUCUGUUUUUAGUGGGGGAGAAUUCUAACAUCCCGAAAUAAGGUAUAUUUUUAUUCUUGAAUCUUUCCUUUUUAUGUCCAAAUUAGUCCCUUAAUGUGAAAAGUUGGCAAGUCAGUACGCGGGGUGUAUGCAUGAGUACGCGCAGCGUACUCAUGCACCAUGUAUGAUCGCGAAGACUACCUAGUACGUUGGGCGUACCCCUUGGUACACUGGGCAUACUAUACUCAGAUGCAAAUCCUAAUAUUCUUUUGUCCCCUUUAAGUAGAACAUGAUAGCCUCAUUUCUAGCCACCCUUAUUAUCCUCCAACCCCCUCUGAACCCCUAACUUCGUCUGUGUGGUUUUUGAGUGUGAUUUUGCAAGUUUUAAGUGAUUCUUGGCUAUUGUAGUUGAAGAAGAAGGUGCCAUCAAUCUUAGAGAUCUUGAAACCUCCCACCUUUGUGCAUCAUUUUCAGGCAUAAAGCUUAUACCUUGGCUAGUGUUCUUCUAUAUCUCUUUAGUACAACUUUUAUGAACUUAAGUCCCCAAAGUUUGACCUUUUUGAGUUGGAGACUCUCCAAAGAGUUUAAGCUAUCCUUUUAUGCAUCCUUGGGCUUCUAAGUUGAUAAAAACAUUUGCUUGAUCUUUCCUUUGCCCCCAUGCAUGAGUAAUGUACCUUGGAAUGGAUGAAAUGACGUUUUAGCCUCUCUUAUCCAUGCAAAGGCUUAAAGCCCACGAAUUUAUGGAUUAAGAGGUCAUAAUUUAGUCAGAUCUGUCGGUGGAGUGGUUGUCCUAACGGAUUAAGACCAAAAAGUAAGGAAAAAAGAAAUUUGUGGAGUACGCCGUACGUACUCCCAACUACAUGCAACGUAGCUCGGUGAUGCCUCGCCGCAUGCUUAGCUAGGUUGUAUGCCCAACGUUAGGGGUAGUACGCCCAACAUACUUGUUGGGUGUUGACUUUCUCUUGACUUUUGCUGAUUUUGACUUUUAGUCAAAGUUUAGGGUUUUGGACCAAAGGAGGGGCAAAAUGGUCCUUUUUGCCCUUAUUAGGUUUAAUUGUGGACUUUGGGCUCGUGAGUGGUUUGGACCUUCAUCUAAAUAAGUUUAAUUGUUUGUUAACUAGGCAGAGUCUAGAUCCAACAGUUCGGGUGCUAGGUUUUCGUGUCAUUAGUGUCAGGUGAUUCCCUUCACUUACUCUUACCUAUAUGGUAGGAUAGCUGUAAUAUUAUGACCAGUUGGGUCUAGCUGUUAUGCUAUGUGCUGAUAUGAUAUUUGUUUGUGACCGGGGCUGCUGAUAGCCAACCGGGGUUGCGGAUAACCUUACGAGCAUGUUGUUAGCUCACCAGGACGGCUAAUAGUCCCAGGGUUGCAGAUAACUCACAAUUGUUUACUUAUGUUGUGUUAUAUCUGGUAUCUUUGGGGAACUCACUAAGCUUUGUGCUUGCAUUUGUUGACUUGUAUGUGGUAGGUACUUCACAGGAUCGUGGGAAAGCGAAGGUCUGAUUGUACACACACACUGGGAAUUUAUUACUAGGACAUGAUCUUUUUAUACUCUAAUAAGUAUGACAUAAGUGUUUUGAAAUGACUUGUAAUUAAUAUGGAUGUGUAACUUUAUUUUUGGAAGUUUUAAAAAUGAAAAGUUUGGUCUAAAAUUUGAGGUGCUUCAGGUAGAUUAAAAUAUUUUAUAGCAAAAAGAAAAAAUUAUAUCUAAAUUUUUGUAGUAUACUAACCAUUUUCGAUCACGUGACAAACCAUUAUUUAACUUUUUAAUAUAAAAUGCAUAAGAAAAAUGUCUAGAAAAUUUAUCUUUAGGAAACACAAGAAUCAUUUCUCUUAUUGGCCAUUUUUCAAUUAGAAUAUCUCUUGAUUUAAUAUCAAGAGAAUCCCAAUUUCUAGGAUAAAAAUAUCUAUAGAUUCAUUUAAAUUAGUAUUUUCUUCAUUUAUAUUAGUAUCAUGUUCAUUUAAAUUAAUAUUUUCUUCAUUCAAACUAGCAACAUUUUCAUUUAUUUUUGUAUCUUGUCCAUUCAGAUUAAUAUUUUCUUCAUUCAGAUUAUUAUCAUGUUCAUUUAAAUUAAUGUUUUCUUCAUUAACACUAGCAACAUUUUCAUUUAAGUUAGUAUCAUGUUCAUUAAAAUUAAUAUUUUCUUCGUUAGAACUCAUUGGUUUUAAAAAAUUAACCGUAGACCCUUUCUCUUUUUGUAAAGAAGCCUCAACAAGUUUUUGUUUUUUUUUUCGUUUUUCACUACUGGAUAAAUGUUUUUUAGAAAACAUUUUAUGAUUGACAAUAAAGUAAAAACUACUGUAAGAAAAGAAUACACCUGAUUUCUUUGUGAAAUAUGUUGAACUGUUGAAGCCUAAUAUCAAAGCAAGCUGAAAAAAUUAAUAACAAAAAACAUUAAUAUGACAACUAAAAUAAUAUCAAAAAUCAAAUAGCCAAUACAUCAUAUUACAAUGUAACAUUGUCAAAUACUCAAGUCAGAUAUCUAAUAGUGUAUUAAUACUUUGAAGGUUUGAACUUUGAAGCUGAAAUUCUAAAAGAAUCAAGUCAGAAGCAAAACAUUAGAAAUUUUGAAAACAGAAACGUUUAUUUUCACUAAUUCAGAAAUCUAAUACAGUAAAAGAAUAGAUAUAAGAUUUCAGAAACUAAGAAUCAGAAUCUGAAUUACUAAGCAGAAGGCUAGAAACUAAAAUGAGAAAUUAGAUAUGCAAUUGAAUUGAAUCAAUUUGAUACAAAAAUAAAAUUAUCCUAAAUUAGUGAAACAGAAAUCAGCUUUCUGCUUCCCUAAUUUUUCAUAUUCCUCUUUACUUGAAUAUAAUGAAACGAAUUGAAUGAGAAACUGAAAUCGAUUAGACGAUUACCUGGUGUCCUUUUCCCUAUGUCGGCGUGUCAAUAUCAGUUUAUUUUUAUCCUUCUGCAACUGAAAUCGAUUAGAAAUUGAAUCUAAUCGUCGAUUUUCAGCCUACCGCAACUGAACUCGCAAGUAAGCACUGUAGCAACCGAAGAAUAGAAAUUCAAUCGAUUAUCAAUAUCAUUUUAUGAUUAUCGAAGAGAGCAGAGAGCUGCAUGAGACUCUGAGAGACAAAGUGAGAAUUGAGAUUUGAGAAGGGAGAAACUAAAAACGAGGUAUAUUAUAUCUAGACUCAAGACACUUAGCCUUAGAGAUUAAAUAUUAGAGAAAAUCAAUGAUUCAAUAUCAAGGCGUGAGGCAUCGAUUCAAUUACCUACCGAUUCAUAUGGCGCCCUAAUCUCAUUCCUAUUUGAUAUUCACGGAAAUCGGAAUCACGUUCAGCGACAUCAAGAUUCAAGCAACCUAUUUUAUUAAUUUGUUUGGGUUGACGUGACUUUGGACAUGACAUUGGACUAACUUUGGGCCCCUAAAUAAAUAUAUAGAUAAAUAAAAGUUAUAUAUAUAUAUAUACACACACACACUACAUAUUCUAUAAAUUUUGGCCCCCCUUGAGUUGUAGGCCUUGGGCAGUCGCUCGGGUCGCCCACAGUCUAGACGAGCCCUGGACAAAAGCAAUCAAGCAUUACUAAGAUCCUAACAACACUUAACUAUGUUUUCAGUAGUUGUUUAAUGUUAAAUGGCUUAUCAUUAUGUCCAUUUGUUCUAACAUCAUUAAACAUGGGGUGCGGAUUGAAUCUUUCUCAUAUGAGUUCAGGGGCGGUUCUCAGUGGGUGCUAGCAGCGACACCGACAACGCAUGCUAUUUUUGUAGGUAGUGGAGAAAAUUUUGAAAUAAUUUUUUACCUAUUGGCACUUUUGGUCUCCUGACCGGCUGGUCAAUGUCUGGCUGUGUGUCCUGGGACACGUGUUAUGUUACUCAAAUACUUCUCAAACAUUUCUUUCUCACCGCUUCCUCUUAUCUGUAGCUCCUCCUAAAUCAACAUAGCCAUUCCCACCACUUCUUUUUUCUUCUAUCUGUUCCACCUUACAGGAAUAGCGAUUUCCUUCACAAUCAAUAACGUUGUUGUAACCUCUCUCUAUGCAAUUCAUGGUUCAGAGAUUGAUUCAUUCCUUUGUAACCUUUGCAUAGUUACAGUGGACCAAAGAUACAAUCAACGACACUUGAUUUCAUUUGGUUCUCUCCGAAGAUUAUCAUCACCACGCCACAAGAACCACUGAUUGAAACCAAAUUUUUUCGAUUAUCACCAGCAUGCCAUACGAACUAUCAGGGCAUAUUUUACCGGUAACGAAAUCGGUAUUUCUGACGAUGAGCUCGAUAACCAUCGAAGAUUUCGAUACUUUUCCUUCGUUUUUCUCGUUAUUUUUCUCUUUUGACAAAGAAAUCAAGUUUAAAUGCAAGUUUAUUGUGAUUUGAGGGUAUGCCAUACACUCACCUCGCAUGCCUUUUCCUUUUCUGACGACUAACCAUUCAUUCAGCAACCACCACCACCACAACAUCAACAUUUGAUUUUAGGUUCGUUUAACUUCAAUUUUGUAAAUAGAUGAAGGUUAAAUGUUUGUAAAUGUGUGUUUAUGUUGGUAUAUAUGUGUGAAUAUUGGUAAAAGUAGUCAUUAUUUCAUAGGAGAAGGUAAAGGUAGUCACUAGUGUUUGAAUACAAGUCGGUUCAAAUUUAUUUGCUUCAUUGUGUGGAUUGUAAAGUUUUUCAAAGACUUUUCUGAAUUGCAGUAUCGUAGCAUGUGUAACAUCCCGAGCUUUCAGGUAUUUUCAAAUCGUUCCAUUGGUUUUUAAAUAUGUCAUUUUGGGUCCUUGGAGUAUAAAGAUGUAGCCCUAGUGGCAAAAUGGUAAUUUAGGGGGGGGGGGGGCAGGAGUAGUACGUUGGGCGUACAUGUGAGUACGCUUAGCGUACGUGGGCAUGCCCUAGUACGUUGGGCAUACACAUAUGUAUGUUGGGCGUACCAAUGUCCGGGUUAAACUCUAAUUUUUAGGGUUUGAAGAGUAUUUAAGCACCUUUAUGGAUCUUUUAGCCUCACUCUUUCAGCCUCAGAGUCCUUGAGUUGUUCUUAGCAAACCCUAACCCCAUAAGAGAGUGUUUUGAGCUUAAAGUGUGUUAUUUGUGUGCUUAAAGGAGAAGGAAGUGCAUCAAGGAGUCUAGGAAGGAAAUCAAACUUGUAGCUUUGGGAUCAUCAUCUCCUUGGGAAGCUUCAGAAGGUAAAAAGUUGCAACCUUUAUGUUUGGUUUGAUUAGAUAUCAUCUUGGUAUCUUUCUGAUGUUCUUUUGUCCCUAAAAGUCCCAUUGUUGUGCAAGUUUGGUUUUGGACAUUUUGAGUUAUCCUUCUAGACCCUAGAAAGGGUCCUUAGUCAUAAAAAUGAGGUCCCAAUGGCCAGAAGUCUCUCAUGCAUUUGGAAAAAGGGUCUUAAAGGAUUAAAACUUUGUAUUAAGAACUUAUGGACAUAUAAAGUCAUAAAGUUGGGGACUUUAUGACUGUAAUAUGGGAUUACGUGCUUAAGCCAUUAAGCACCUAAAGGAAUUUUGGGAUCUACGAGGGUACGCCCCGCGUACACAGUCAGUCACCCCGAUGGUGGUCAAUGUGAGGCUCGUGUACGCCCUGUGUACCUCCCAUGUACACCCAACAUACGUCGUCUGUUGGGUUUUUGAGUUUGGGCUUCAAGUUUUGGCCCACCUUUUUGGCUUGAAUGCUUGGGCCCUCAUUGGUCUAUCAGAGUAUGAGUGUUUUGGGCUAUUUGGAGAGUUAGACCUUAGGAUAAGGCCCAAUAAGGAGUUUGGGCCCGGUUUGUAAAAUUGGGCCAAUUAUGGGUCUUGAAGUAAUUUGGGCCUUUUGGAUAAGAAAUUGGACUUGGGUCUUGGCCCAAUUAAGGAAAGGGUAAAAUGGACAUUUACCCUAAGUAUGGAUCUUUAUUCAAGGAUUGUAAUCCACUUGUUAAUUGGAUGUUUGUUUUGUUGUGAUAGUUCGAGAUAUUUCAUGAGCCAACAGCCGGAGGUUUUCAGUGUGAUUCGACAUUAUAAGGUGAGUUUUCCUCGCUGUACUUGCGGGUAUGAAGGCACCAAUGCCGACCCCUUUGGAUUGAUAUCCUGUUUUGCAUGAUGUUACAUGGUAGUGAUCUGUUUGAUCAAAAUCCUGGUAGAUAGGAUGAUGUGAUGCUUAGUGAUCUGUAAGAUCUGUCUGUUUGUUUGUUGGUUGGUUAAUAGUAUGUUUAUCUGUAUUAUGUACACAUGAUUAGUUAGUAUUUGAGGCUUCACUACUUUGUGCGUAAGACAACAGGCCAUGGCAUUCCAACCUGAUGGUUAAGGGCCUAGGGUAUUCCAUUUCGAGGAUGAUUGGACCCAUAGUAUAUUUGCAUUCCAACCCGAUGGUUGAGGGGUAUGGGGUAUUCCAACCCGAUGGUUGAUUGGACCUAUAGUAUGUUGGCAUUGCAACCAGAUGGUUGAGGGGCCUGGGGUAUUCCAACCCGAUGGUUGAUUGGGCCCAUAGUAUGUUGUUUUGUUUUGUGCUAUUUGUUACAUAUUGGUAUUUUGGGGGAACUCACUAAGGUUUGGGCUUACAGUUUUGGAUUUUGUUUCAGGUACCUCAGAGGAUCACGAGAAGACGAAGGCAUGAUCAUGCAACUCCUCAUGUUUUGUUUUAUGAAUUUGGGAUUUCUCUAAUAUUGAACUCAUUUCGAAAACAAUAUGUAAACAAUGAUGGUUUUUGGGCUGUUUAAAAGUUCAAAAUUUUCAUGAAUUUAAUGGAUGUUACAACAUGACUACAGUUUUGACAAAUGAUUAUCUGGUAACACAAAAGAUAAGUUUGACAUAUUUUUUAUUCUCAUUUCACUCCAAUAAGUGAAGCUUUCAUUUUCACUUCUUAUUAAAGUCACGUUUUUUAAAGGAGUUUAUUUACUUGUCUUAUAGGCAUUGUACUUUGAAAUUUUGUUUAGUUAUAGCAUUGAUACACAAAUUUUUAUUUUUUCUACUUAGAGGUUGGUUAGAGUUUAAUCAUUUUUACUCUAAUGUUUAAGGACCUAAUGUAAUUUUUUUAUUGUCUCACAUUCCAGAUGUAAUUUAAGGAGACAAGGUUGAUAAUGGACUAUUAUAUGAGGUUGUUAAUGUACUUAUUUGCUUAUAGAGUGCUAUGUUAUAUUAACUUGUAAAAUAAGAAGCACAUUGUUACUUCUUGCAUUUAGUCUUUUCAUGGGUUAAAUGCAAGAAAUCUCAAUGUAGCAACUUACAUUCAUUUGUUAUUAUUAUUUUUUUAAUUUACUUCAAUAGAAAAUAUAGCAACUUACUUUCAUUUUCCAAUGAAAAUACAUUGUUAUUUCUUGCUCUUUAAAAGUAAGAUGAUAGAUAUAUUAGUAAGUAAAGUGAAAUUUUAUUGCUAUUUUUUGCAUUUCACCCAUUAAAGUUUGGUUAAUUAUUUUGUUAUGAAAUAACCACAUGUAUGCAAUUAUUUAGGAGUGUCUAAUAAGUUCAUUCUAGUUUUUUUUAGGAAAACAAUUCUUACCUUAGUGGCACUUCAAUCAAAUGACAAAAAUAGGUAACUUUACCUUUUACACCUUUUUUUACUAGCAUUUGUUUGGACAUAGGGUUUAUUAUAAGCAUCCGUAUCAGGGGUUGCAGUUGGAUAAUUUUAUUAUUUGUGAUUCCAUUUUCCUUUUAUUUUGUUUCUAUACUUUAGGAUUAUAUAUUUUAAAAUUCAUUCUGAUUAAGUUUUUGUAACACCCUGUUCCGAAUCGUAUCCUAUUUCGGGGUGGUGACCAAAGAUCGGGAAUUAUCAGGCUUAGGACCAUUGAGCAAAUGAGAUCUGGAUCUAUUUGGAUAUGGGUGAUGUAAAUCUAGAUGAUCCAGGGGUUCAGUUUGUAUUUUGGAGCCAAGGGGUAUUUUGGUAAAUGUCACCUCGAACUUUCAUGUAAAUUAGAUUUUUAUUCGGUAAAUUUUAAGUGAUUAUGAGAUGAUAAAAGCGUAAAGCUUCUUGUUACCUUUUCAUGGAUAUACGGAUCGUCGGAAUCAGAUUUAUAAUGAAGAAGUUAUGGCCUUCGUAAGAAAUUAGGGUUUAGGGAAAACCCUAGUACGCGAGGUGUACAUGGCGUGUAUGCAGGGCGUACUCGUGCAAGGACCCUUACGCGAGGCGUAUCAUGGAAUACGCUGAGCGUCGUCAGCGGUUUGAUCGCGAAGCUUCGGCCUCGUACGUUGGGCGUAUGAGGAGUACGUUGGUCGUACGAGGAGUUCAAGAAACCCUAAUUUAAGUGUGUUGUACUCUAUAUAAUCACCUUAAGACCCUAGGGAUGGCCUCUUUACCAACCCCCAAACCUCCUAAAACCCUAAAUCAUCCCUUAAGCUUUCUUGGUGGUGUUCUUGAGCCCUUUAAAGGAUUUUAGUGGUUGUUUUGCUCACUGUGAAGGAAGCUUUGAAGAUUGAAGGUGCCUUCCUUAGAAGGAAGGUCUUAGAUCCAAAAUCAUAUCACAUGUUGCAAUCUCUUCAAGGUAUCAUGUUCAUACCUUGGCUUGUAGAUGUUUAGAUCUCCUCAUAGUUUAUUUUGUUAUGCUUUUUGUCCCAUUUUGGGUUGAUUGAAGAGUUAAGAUGUUUUAAGGGCUUGUUCUUUUAGAUAUGAGCUUGUGGUGGACUCCUUGAGCAUAAAGGUGCAAGCUUUAUGGGAUUUUUGGUCACAUGCAUGCAUUAAGUCAAUUGUUAAGUCCUCUUUAAGAUUAAGAGCUUCAUUUAGCCAUACAUCAACGUAAAGUUAGCAACUUUACGUGGUAAUCCAACUCAAGGAAGUCAGAUAUAUGUCUUAAGGGAUUAAGUGUUGAAAUUAAGUUUUGGGUUGAAUGGGUAAGUACGAUGGGAGUACAAGCAGGUACGCUUAACGUACAAGCCCUCAAGCGAGUACGUUGCGUGUACUUGCUGAGUACGCCCAGCAUACUUAGUCUGGUGGACUUUACCUAUUUGGGCCUCAGAUUUGGGCUAUUAUUUCGGCUUAGUGGCUUGGCGCCUUGUUGGGCCACCUGAAUGGAAGAGUUUGGAGUAGAUAAAAUUAGUGCGCCUUAGGGUAAGGCCCAUGUAAAGGUUUGGGCCCAAUUUAGAAAAUUAGGCCUUGAGUGUUUGUUUGGAUCUUUGGACCUUUAGAUUGUUGGUUUGGGCCUAGGUUUGGGUCAUGCUGAGUAAAGGGUAAAAAGGUCUUUUACCCCAGUUUAAGAAAUUAAUGUGGACCAGAUCCGAUUAUUGAUGGGUGAUUAUUAUGGUGAAUUGUAGCGCAGGGAUUUUAGCGAGGCAGGGGCCAUAGAUUCUUUCUGUGAGAUUCGCUAGUGCGAGGUGAGUUUUCCUCACUGUACUUGCGGGUCAAAGGCACCAAGACCGGCUCUUUGGAUUGUUAUCCUAGUUUAUCGUAUGAUUGUGUACUAUAGUGAUAUGUUAGAUUUGUAUCAUGGUAGAUAGGAUGUUGUUAUGUUGUUGUGAUCUGUUAGAUCUUUAUCCUGGUUGAUAGGAUGUUGCUAUGUUGUUCUGAUCUGUUAGAUUUGUAUCCUGGUAGAUAGGAUGUUGCUAUACUGUUAUGAUAUGUUAGAUCUGUAUCCUGGUAGAUAGGAUGUUGCUAUGCUCUUGUGAUAUGUUAGAUCUAUAUCCUGGUAGAUAGGAUGUUAUAUGUUGUAGUGUUCUGUUAGAUCUGUAUCCUGGUAGAUAGGAUGUUAGCAUGCAGUUAUUAAAUCUGCCUAUUUGUCUGAUGACUGGUUAUAUGUUUAUUAUUUAUGUGCAAGUCGACAUGUUGUGGUUGGUUGGGUUGAGGUGGUCCUUCUUUGUGCUGAAGUCCAAGACACCCAGGGCGGACCAGAUAGAUUGUAGGCCCUAUGAGGCAAUCCAGUCAGGCCGAUGGCCCAAAGGAUGGUCCAAAUAGGCUGAAGGCUCGACAUGACGGUCUAAUUGUAACAUCCUGUUUAUUAAAUAAAUAAAUUGAUAAAAAAUUAAUAAACAAAUAGAAGCCCAAAAACCCAGAAUAUUUAGCGGGGUGUUAAUUUCGGGGAGCCAAAUGAUAUAAAUUGGGUUUUCGGGGGUUAAAGUGUAAUUCCUGGAUUUAUUUUGUAAAGAUUUUUAGAUGUCAGGGGGUUUUUGGUAAGUAUUGGACUUAAUAUGAAAGUAUUUAUGGGAUCAGGGGUUAAAGAGUAAAUUCUGGACCUAAGUUGAAAAGGUUUUGUAGAGGAGGGCCCAUUUGGUAACCUUUGGACUUAUGUUGAAAGAAAAAAAAAAGAGAAGGGGGGGAACAUUUGCGUCAUUAUGGGAUGAUUUUAUGUGAGUCGGGUAUAUAACCGUAAAUCCGCCACCCUCUCAAACCCAAACCCAAAACCUAGUUAAUGUUGCAGCUGCCGCCCACCUUAUAUCCCCUCCAUCCGGCCGCCGCCUCCAGCUUCCUCGUCGCCACCUUGCACCACCGAAUCCUCACCGCUACACCACCGCCUCUGAAAAAGAAGGUUGCCUUUGGGCACCAUGUCCAUUGACGAUCGAAAGAGGACAAAUUUGGUUCGUAUUUGCUGCCAUUCGUAGCUGCAUCCUCUACCGACGAAGCCAACCUCACACAUCUCUAUAUGCGGUUGCAUUGUGCUACUUUUUGUGUGUGUGUGUGUGUUGGAGUGUGUGUUGCAUGAUCGGGUUUCGAUAGAGAACCACCACCACCACCGUGAGGUGGUGGUUGUCGCCUCCAACUACCACCUGCCACUACAAGGGUGGUUGUGUGUGUGUUUUAUUAUUUUUGUUUAUUUUGGAUAUUUGUUGUAUAGAUGUAUCAUUUUAUCGUGCCCGGAAUAAUCCAAGAAAACAACUCGUCACCGUCGUGAGGUGGUGGUUGCCACCUCACGCUGCCAUUCUGCCGCCACCUUGGGUGGCUGUGUGCUUUUGUGUGUGUGAUUAUUAUUUUGGGAUGCUUAGAUAUUUUUUUAGCCAAAAAUCAUAACCACCACCACAAGGUGGUGGCCUCCGCCGUGAGCCACCGUUGACCGCCACUACCCGAGGUGGUAGUGUGUGGUGCCCGACUUGUUUAACCCUAAUUGACCUAAUGAAGCCCUAAUUGAUCUAAAAACCUAACCAUUUGACUAAUAGGCACGUGAUUGGGUUGGAAACCCUAAUUUUGGAAUUUGUUAAUUUGGAAUUGUCAGGACCUACAAGUUUGGACCAUUGGAAUGGAAUCAUGAAUUAAUCCCGACCAAGUUGUAUGUUUCAUCUAGUAGAGUGAUGGACUUAAUGUAUUAAGUCCUUAAUAGCUUAGGUAAGAAAAACUUAACCCUAAUCGUCAUUUUAUGUGAAAACCCUAAUUUUGCUUGGGCCUUGAGUUGGGCCUUUCUAUUGGGCUUUGGUGAUUGGGAUAUCCAAGAACAAGUAAAUAGACUAAAAUAUUUGGAUGGGCUUUAGGGUAAGGCCCAUGUGAGGGAAUUGGGCCUAAUUUGGAAAAUUGAGCCAUAAAUGGGCCAUAAUUGGGCCUUGAUGAUUAUGAGAGAUUUGACCAUUGGAAUGCCAAGUGUUUGGACCGGAAUAGAUGGUUGGGCCUUAAGGUAAGGCCUAUCUGAAGGGUUUGGGCCCAAUUUGGAAAAUUGGGCCAUAUGUUGGGCUUUGGUCCAUUGGUUGACUUUUGGGCCUUUGGAGUGUGAGUUUUAGGCCUUGGGCUUGAAUCAAGCUAGGUUGGGGGUAAAGUAGUCUUUUACCCCAAGCAUGGACUUGUGGUUAUAUAUUGGAACCCAAAUAUUAAUUGGGUGUUGUUUUGAUGUUGACAGUUGGGAAUCUGUCAUCCAGCAGCUAGGGUUUUGUCCGCGGGACUUCAGCAGUGUGAGGUGAGUUCUUCUCACUAUAUCAACAGGGUCUAAGGCACCAAGGUCGACCCUUUAUGAUUUGUAUCCUUGUUAUAGGAUGGUUGCUAUGUUAGUGAUCUGUUAGAUCGGUAUCCUGGUUAUAGGAUUAUGCUAUGUUAGUGAUAUGUUAGAUUGGUAUUCUGAUUAUAGGAUGGUUGAUAUGUUAGUGAUCGGUUAGAUCGGUAUCCUUGUUAUAGGAUGGUUGCUAUGUUAGUGAUCUGUUAGAUCGGUAUCCUGAUUAUAGGAUGCUUGCUAUGUUAGUGAUCGGUUAGAUCGAUAUCCUUGUUAUAGGAUGGUUGCUACGUUAGUGAUCGGUUAGAUCGGUAUCCUGGUUAUAGGAUGGUUGCCAUGUUAGUGAUAUGUUAGAUCUGUAUGACUAUUUGUACAUCCUAGUUAGCGUAUGAUAUUUAUGUGCAUAUGUUUGUUUGAUUAGGGGUUGGGUUGAGGCGGACAUGCUUUGUUCUUAGGCCAACAUACCCAGGGCGGACCAGAUAGACUGCAGACCUGGGAGGGCAUACUAGUCAGACCGAAGGCCCGGCGAGCGUUCUGGAUAGGUUGAAGGCCCGUGAGGCGGUCUAAAUGUGUCGAUGGAUCAGAGAGCGGUCCAGAUAGAGUGAUGGCCUGUGAGGCAGUCCAGUCAGGCUGAUGGCUCAUUGUGCAUGUUGUUUGUUUAUGUGAUACGGUUAUAUCUGUAUGGUGUUGGUAUUUUGGGGGAACUCACUAAGCUUCGGGCUUAGUGUUGUUGGUUUUGUUUUAGGUACUUCUAAUGAUCGCGGAAAGGUGAAGGCGUGAUUGUACACCUCCUUAUGUUUCAUGAUUUGAUUUUGGGAUACGUACUCUGACACUAAACCUUUUUGAAAAAAGGUUUUGUAAUAAUUAUUGGUUUUGAAAUGUUUUAAAAUGUUUAAAUUUGGCAUGAUUUUUAUGGAUGUUACACUAGUCAUGUUGAAGGUCCUAUGAGUGGUCCAGAUAUGUUGGAGGCCUAUAAGGUGGUCCAGUCAUGCUGAAGGAUCUGUAUGCAUGUUGUUUGUUAUUGUUAUAUGUAUUGUGUGUUGGUACUUUGGGGGAAAACUCACAAAGCGUUGGCUUAUAGUUUCGGGUUAUGUUUCAGGUACCUCGGAUGAUUGUGGGAAGAAGGCGUGAUCAUGCACCUCCUCGUGUUUUGGACUUAUGAUUUUUGGGAGAACUCUGAUAUUAAACAUGUUUGAAAACUAUAUUAUAAACAAUUAUGAUUUUGGGUUGGUUUUAAAAGUUUAAAAUUUUCAUGAAUUUUAUGUAUGUUACAAGUUUUCGUAAUUAAUUAGUUAUGUUUUUAAAUUUUGAGUAAAUAGUUGCAUGUUUGAUGUGUUAUGAAAAUAUCAUUUUCUUUAAUUAUAAAUGCAAGAAUAGUGACCAGUUAGACCAUGGUUGUUUGUUUCUAUGUGUGUGACUUGGUAUAUAUAUAAUUUGCAGGUUAUCAACCUGCCAUUGCAAUUUCUAUACAUGGUGUGGUAUCUCAAGUUUAAAAGCCUAAUAUUCAGUUGCCAACAUCUUUUCAUCGGUAUGUUAAUAAGACUAAAUAUUUAUACUUUUUUAUAAAUACUAACUUUUGUUUUUUAAGGUUGAGUUUAUUCAUUUUAUUGAAAACUAUAGGUAUCGAACAACACUCACUAAAAAAGUGGAGUCAUCGCGCAUGUGGAACAACAAAAUAUCUCCAUCCAUCUCAAGACACAUAUCUACUAAAUUUUUUGUGGAAGAUUUGAUUUCUUCGUUAUUGCAUAUUUUAUCACCUUCAUCUUUAAAGCUAGUAAUUUAUUUCUAUUUUCUACUACAUUAUUCCUUUUACCAUGAAACAUCCCAAAAAUAUGACCCAAAAAUUUCAUUUUGUAUUUAAGUAGAAACAGUAUUCCAAAUCAUUGUUCAUACAACCCAUAUAAAAUAAGUAUGUCAAACAUCAUAAAAAUCAGAGUGUGUCCAAUAAACAAAAUCCAUAUGGUGUGUGCAAUGCAGUCGUCCCGAGCUCUUCCCCUUGACACUAGAAGUACCUGAAACAUAAAUUGAAAAUUGUAAGCACAAAGCUUAGUGAGUUCCCCAAACUACCCCAUACCAUACAUAAUAAAUCAUAUAUUGGGCCCGCGCUCGGUAUACAUAUCUGUUAUUCUCAGGCCUCGCCUGUCACUGGGUCUCGCCUGAUAUACACAUACAAUCUAUAUCACAUAAUCAUGUUAAUACAUAUAAUGAUCACUAACACUAGCAUAUGUUCUAGUCCUCAGGCCUCGACUGGCAUCGACCCCCGCUCGGUAUACAUAGCAGCACAUAACACAUGCAAGGGUCACACAGACUCCUAGCAUCCUAACAUAAUCAAUAAGAGCCGACAUUAGUUCCUUAGACCCGCUAAACCCAGUGAGGAAACUCACCUUGAAUGCUGAAUCUCACUGGAAGAAAUCCCUAGCUGCUGCCUUGACGACUCCCCGAGCUAUCACUACAAAAUAACACCCAAUCAACACUUAGGUUCCAAACUAUAACCAAUAUUCCAUACUUGUGGUAAAAUGACCAUUUUACCCCUGGCCUAGCUUGAUCCAAACUAAGGCCCAAAUCCACAAUCUAAAAGGACCAAAACCAAAAAGCCAUCCAUGGCCCACUUAUGGCCCAUAUUUCUAAAUUGGGCCCAACCCCUCAUAUGGGCCUUUCCCUAAAGCCCAAUAACUUUCCUUAGCCCAAAAGCUUGAUUUCAAAGGCCCAAUAAGGCCCAAAGCAACCAAGUCCAAAGAAAUGGCCCAACUGAGGCCCAAUGAUGCGAAGCUUAAUCUGACUGAGUACGCAGGGCGUACUCAGCUAUACACCGAGCGUACACGCUGCACGGCUUGUAUGCUCAGUGUACUUCUUCAUUAAGCCAUUCUUCCAUUAAGCUCUUAAUGCUCAUAUCUAAAGGUCCAAAACACAAAUUUGAGUCCCGAAGGAUGUCUAGAACCAUAAAGCCACUGACUUGGUGACUUUAUAUGCCCCAAAUGAGCCCAAACUCGAAUUAUAACCUUCUACUUCCAUAAUAUUGACCAUAUAUCAUGCAUGGAUGUGUCUAAGCUUCAAAGGUGACAACUUUAUCAAUCUAGGAUCAAAUAAACACUAAGUGUGGCAACUCUAAGCUUCUGAAAUGAUAUGAACCACAAGAUGUCAUCUAUGGGACCAAAAAGGGUCGAAAAGCUUAAACAAGGAGAUCUAAGCUUCUAAAGAUCAAGAUCAAGACUUUAUACCUUGCACAAGCUUGAAAUGGAGCAGAUAAUUCGGAUCUACAAGUUUCUCCUUGAACCACCACCUUGCUCCAACCUUCUCUUUCUUGAAAAUGGGACAAAACACACCAAAAUGCACUCAAAAGACCUUCCAAGCUCAAGAACACUCAACAACGGGGUUAGGAUUUCAUGGAGGCUGAUUAGGAACAAGAGGGAGGCCGAUAGAAAAGAUCCUUGGGACAUAAUGUUCUUUAAAUAGUGCGCAAACCCUAAAUAUUAGGGUUUUGGGGUCUGGACACGUACGUUGCGCGUACUUCCUUGUCCGCAGCACGUACGUGCAUGGCAUCCGCGUCCUUUUUACUCCAUUAUGCCCAACAUACAUAGGGUGGUACGCCCUGCAUACGACACACCCUAAAACCAAAAUGAAAAAGGUCCAAUGACUUGAAGGCCCAAACUCUAAAUAAUUAAAUAACCAAAUUUAAAUAAAUACCUUAGAAUAUCGGGCGUUCCAUACCACAUUCUUUGCAUUAAAGUUAUUUUUUUCUUUUUCAGCUGGCUUUGCAUUUAUUAUCAGAAAAAAAUGGCUCAUAUGGUUAAAACCAUGGGGUCAUAUGUCAUAAAUACAGGAACAAAAAAAAAAUGCUCCUUUACCUAAUAAACUAAAAUUUGAAGUUGUUAUAGACAAGGACACCUCAGUUUUCUCUUUUGGUCCCCAAUCACCGAAUUUGUGAACCUUGAGGUUAGGGAUUUAACUUUUGAUUUUCAUAAUAUAAUCUAAACUGAAAAUAUAAUUUAUAUUAAUUACUAAUUUACAAUAAUCCACUACAUGGGUACAGUUGUAACUAUUUCACACUUGGCUUAGAUGUUAAGCAACUUCAAUGUCAUGAGGUAAGCAAUACAAGUUGCAACACCAUCCACUUGAUUUGUAUGUUAAAAAGACUAAAUUUCCCCUAACAUUGUGGUUAAUGUAUGUUGCUACUAUAAAUUAAAAAACAGAAGAUACUACAAAGUAGCAUCAACAAAUCAAUGGAUGGAAAUAAUAAAAAAGAAAUUGUGAAAGAGAAAUUUAGUAAACCUAAACGUGUCAUGUUUUUGGUGCCCUCAAGGUAAAUAUGUGCAACAAGUCGCGAAACACUUUCAUUGAUUGGUUUAUUUUAAGCAAAAUUUAAAGUGAAAUGUUAUAAUCGAAAUGUUUCAGGGAGCAGUGGAUGGUAGAAUUGUCAUCCCUCACCGUGAAAAGAGGUUUGUUGGAUUUAACAAGGAUGGGAAGCAACUUUCUAACACCCUAUUCCAAAUCGUUUCCUAAUUCGGGGAUGUGACCCGAAGAUCGGUUAUCAUAAGGCUUAGGUCCUUUGGGAAAAAGAUAUUUAGACCCAUUUAGGUGUGGGUAAUGUAAUUUAGAUGAUCUGGGAGUUUGGUUAUGUUUUGGAGCCAAGGGGUAUAUCAGUUGAGUGUUAGUUUGGGCUUUUUAUGAAUUUUGGAUUUUAGUUCGGGAAGUUUUAAGGAAAUGAUGAGUUGAUAGAAAUGUAGAUGUAACAACGUAAAUUUUCAAAACAAUUUUUCAUUUUUAAAACAUAUUUUCAAUCAUCAAAACAACAUCAAACAAACUGUAUCCAAUGUCAUCAUAAAAACAAAUCCCAUAAUCUCAAAAGAUCUCAAAUACAUAAAUCCUCUCAGUGUGUACGGAUCAUGUCGGCGCCUUCCCACGGUCCUCGCUAGUACUUGAAACACACAACACAACAACUGUAAGCAUAAAUGCUUAGUGACUUCCCCAAAAUAUCACAUACAACACAUACGCCUUUCCANNNNNNNNNNNNNNNNNNNNNNNNNNNNNNNGGGGGGCCCUUCCGGUCCAUGUGUCUCAGGGGCCUUCCGUCCCGAAUCCCGGUAGCCCUUCCGGUCCUACCAGUAUCGACCUUCCGGUCCGUAACCUUCUGACCUUCCGGUCCAUGUCCUCUUAACCUUUCGGUACAUAUCACAAAUAGCAUAAAUAACACAUACAUAUCACAUAUCAGCAUAUAGCACAUACAUCUCAUAGCAUAUAAGACCUUCCGGUCACACAUAGGUACCCUUCCAGGUAUAGUAUAGUGAGAAGACUCACCUCGAGUAUCUCGGAUAAUCUCACACACGAGAACACUGAUCUAGCCCCCGCCUAAUCACAUAAACAAUGCUAAUAAAUAAUGGCUCUCAAAGGCUAGCUUAAAUCCAUUCCUACAAUCCCACAGAAGGGUAAAAGACCUUUUUACCCCUCCCUGACUCAAAAGUCCAAAUGUUGACCAAAACCCUAAAAGUCAACAAAAGUCAACCCUCCGGGUUACGCUGGGCGUACCCGACGACUUCACAGAAUCGGGGAACGCGACCCCUUACGUUGCGCGUAUUGGGAUUACGCCCUGCGUAACUCCAAGUUUCAGAAUCCUUUUGAUUUUGGGUCUUAAACGGUUAAGACACACGUCCAACUUUCUAUCUGACUGUCCCUAAGCCUCUUAAUCAAUAAAGUCGCUGACUUUAAGCCUUUGCAUGGCUGUAAAAGUCACCAACACCCAUAUCAUUCCAUUUUCAACACUUAAAAGCCCAUAACUCAAGCAUGACUCCAUAAUAACGACCAAGUUGGGAUUUUUAUGGAUCUACAACACAUAUAACACUGAAAUGGGAGAGAUCUAGGGUCCCUUAUGCUCAUAAAGUCUCCACCUUUAGGACUUUAACCCUAAAAAUGGACCAUUCAACAGCAAACCAAAAUUAAGAGGAAAGUUCUGAGCUUUUUACCUCUAAGUAAAGCUCCACCUCCCCUUCUUCUUCACUAACACACAAAGGCACUUUUAGCUCAAAACACUCACACACAAGCUUUAGGAUGAAGGAAAUGCUCUCUUAGGGUUUCACUCUCUGAUAUGGUGGCUGAGGAUAAGGCCUUAGCAUUCCUUUUAUAGUGCACAAGCCACAAUUAGGGUUUGCAUCUGGGCCCGCUACGCCCAGUGUAACCCUGGGUACGCCCAACGUACCUAGGCGAGUCCGCGUCCAAUUUAAGCGCAUGAGUACGCGCAUCGUACUCUCCAGUACACCCAACGUACUCAUUUGCAACAUUUUCCACUCAAGGGCUAAAUUUGACAACUUGACAAAAGAGAAGGGUUAAAUAGUUGUACCUGAAUUUCGGGAUGUUACAGUAGAGCUUCUUCUUACCUUUCCGUGGAUAUAAGGGUCAUCGAAAUCAGACUAAGAAUGAAGAAGUUAUGGCCUCCGAAAGUUGGUGGUUUAAAAGGCUAAGCCUUGUACGCAGGGCGUACAAGGGAGCACGUUAGGCGUACUAGGCAGAAGGGAUCACAAGUACUUUAUGAAGUACGUUGGGCAUACUGGGAGUACGCGGGGCGUACUCCAGCCAGAUGAAAACCCUAAUUUUUAGGGUUUACACCCUAUUUAAGCAUCAUUAUAUAAUCUCUUGGACAUUUUAUACCAACCUCCAUCUACCAUUACCCUGAAAUCGAAAACCUAGAGCAUUUGGUGAGUUUUGAGCGUAAAAGAGUAUUUGUUGGUGGUGUGUGAAGAAGAAGAAGAAGAGGAACACUUGAAGGGAUAGCUUGAGCUUGUAGAUCCAAGAUUACCUUCUCAUUUGCAAUCAUUUGGAGGUAAAAAGCUCUCACAUUGAUGAUCUUUGGUGUUAGAUCUAUUUUAUGGUGUAUUUUUUGCACUUUUUUUGAGACUUUUGAGUUAUAGGUGAGCUUUUGAUAUACUCCAGAAGCUAUGGAUGAUAGAUAUUGGCUCCAUUUAGUCCCCAUGCUCAUAAAAAUGUCAACUUUAUGGAAGAUAUUGGUCCACACAAGCAUUAAAACCUAUGUUAAGCUCUUUUUGAGCUUUUGAGUCCCUUUAAGCCAUGCUUGAGUGUAAAGUUGCCAACUUUACAUGAUAAGUUCCCCUUUAGGAUCAGAUCUGAGAGUUUGGAUUGAGGUCUCAACCGAUUAAGUGCUUAUUGGAGUGAAAAGGUGGUAUGGGGAGUACGCUAGGUGUACCCAGUUGGUACGAUGUGCGUACUGACCUCGGACGGAGUACGCUUAGCGUACGAGCUGAGUACGCCCCAUGUACUCAGCAGAUGGACGUUUGGGCUUGGAAUUCUCGGUUUAGGGCAUUGUUUGGGUUUUCUAAAUUUGGGCCUUGUUGGGACGUUAGAUUUCUAUUUUGGGCUUCUGGUUUGUAUUUUUGGGCUCCUCUGGAUUUAGUCCUAUGAUGGGUUUUGGGCACAAUUUGGAAGAUUGGGCUAUAUUGGGCUUUGGAAUAUCCUUUAGGAUUUAGGACUUGGGAGUAGUUGAGUUGGGCCUUGGCUUUGGGCCAAAUGAGACAGAGGGUAGAAUGGUCUUUUACCCUGGUUAUGGGCUAAGUAGUUUAGACUAUUGGUUAUGGGUCGGAACCCAAUUAAUAAUUGGAUGUCAUUUGAUGAUGAUAGCGUGGGGAUUCUCCGGACCAGCGGUUAGAGAUUUAUUCGAGUGUUUCAACAGGUAGAGGUGAGUCUCCUCACUGUACUCAUGGGUCGAAGGCACUAAUGUCGACCCACUAGGUUAUGUUAUGUUAUAUGUUUUUGUGACUCUUGCAUGGUAUGUUGGGCUAGGCCUAUUGUAUGACGAGCUAGGCCCAUUUGUAUGUUGGGCUGGGCCCAUGGUUUAGGAGGGCUAGGCCCAUUGUAUGUUAUAUAGGUGCUAACUAUCUUUGUGACUUUUGCAUUUGUAUGAUCGGGUUGGGCCUAUUGGUUUGGCAGGGCUAGGCCCAUUAUGGUGGGUUGGGCUUAAUAUAUGGAUUGGGCCCAGUGUGAGGGCUAGUCCCAAUGGUAUGGUAAGUGGUAUUUUGGGGAACUCACUAAGCUUUGUGCUUACGGUUUUAUAGUUAUGUUUUCAGGUACUUUCGGUUCGAAAAGGAAAGGGCCCGACUUGAUCGCAGCGCAUCCAUCCAUGUUUCCGCAUUAUGAUGAUUUUAGGAUUGUACUAUGAUAAUUGUUUUCUUAUAAAGUACUUUUGAAUAACUAGAAAAGAAUAAUGAGUGUUUGACUAAAAGAUAAUUAGUGUUUUGGUUGAAUUAAAAAUAAAAUUUUUACCUUACAAUUUUGGGUCGUUACAAACUUGAUGCUGAUGUUCACCGCAAGUACAUUUAUGGGGGAUAUGUUGCUUCUUAUGUGAAGGUAUGCACUCUUUUUUAUUCUGUUUAAAGUGAUAUGAAUAGAUAUGAAAUGAAAUGAAGUGAAUUAUUUUAUAUGUUUUAUUGAUUGAAUGCAGGAUUUGAUAGAAGACGAACCAGAGAAUUAUCAGACACAUUUUUCUGAAUAAAUAAAGGUUGGAGUUGAAGCUGACAACAUUGAAGAGGUUUACAAAUAUGUGCAUGCUUUUCUGAAUAAAUAAAGGUUGGAGUUGAAGCAGACAACAUUGAAGAGGUUUACAAAUAGGUGCAUGCAACUUUUCAUGCUGAUCUAACCCUAAAGAAAUCUCAUAUGAACCUACAAAGGAGCAAGGUAACAUUUAUUUCUUUUUUGCUUAUUUAGGGUUUUAGGGUUUAUAUGAAAUUAGAUAAUUGAAAACAUUUAGAUUAGGAUCUUAUUGGUUGUAUGUAUAUUGUUUCCGAUACAAUCUGCAGAAGUUUACUUAUGAUGAGAAGAAGCAAAAGCUUAUUGAGAGGUUGAAUGCUUUGAAUGUCAUUGUUGGAGCCGGCGUUUGUUUGUCUAUUAGUGCAAAUCCAUAAGUGAGGCCUCAAGUUCAAGCUCUCAAAAUUUGAGUAGACAAUCAUACAACCCUUAUCUCUAAAAAAAGAUUGCAAAUAAAUGUUCAUUUUUUAAUAUGCAUGUAUUAUAUUGAAAAUUUUAUACAAAAAAAUAAUUGUUUCUUUCCGACCCAGGCAGAGCGUGGUUCACCACCUAAUUGCGAUAAAAUGUGAGCAACAUAAAUUACAUUGCUAUAAAAUGUGGGUUCACCCCUAAUUGCUAUAAAAUGUGAGCAACAUAAAUUACAUUGCUAUGAAAAAUUACUGUUUUACUAAUUUGUUAUAAACUAACCACUAAAAUUAAGAAAAUGCAUGUAUUACGAAAAUCAAAAAAACUCAUAAAAGGUCAAGUAAAUUAUUUAGAAUUGAAGGAAGACCCAUGUGAACCCAAAAAUUAUCAUUCAAUAAAAUAAUAUGACAUUAACAAAUGCCUUUAUUUUAUUUUACCAUCCCGAACGGACAUCCAACACUAAAAUAAUAAAAUCAUUAACAUUAACAAAACUAACACCAAAGGAUUUUGAUAAUCAUUACAAACUACAAAGUAUGCCUCAGCCUUAAAAAAAAAUAAUAAAAACAUAAAUUUAUAAAAGAGAAUUGGAAAUUAUUCACUUGAUUAGGAUUGCUUGUGGAAUGGUAUUGGUAAUGGUAGACCUUUUCGCUUUGAUGCCUUGAAGCCGAUAAUAGCUUGACUGCCGAGGAUGAAAGAUGCAAUGGAAGUAUGGAACAAGUAACGAUUGCUUGUUUUUACUUGCCGGCUGCCGAGUGCCGAAGAAGUAAUACAAAAGACUCGUAUUCUUACCCUUUUUAAGUAUUUCUCGCCUCGGUCAUUAUUUUAAUUUUUUAAUUGGCCAUUGCCGGCUUCAUAAUGGCCUAAUUGGGAAUUAAGGAUAUUAAGAAGCUCUUUGUUUUUUAGAGUGUGUUUUGGAUUGUUUUUCUAAUAAUUUUUUGACUUUUAAUUUUUUUUAAAGAUCAAAACAUUCAAAAAGAUGUUUUAGGGAUGAACAGUUUUUCCCAAAUCUCGAUCCCGUACCAGUACCGUUCCAGAAUCGGUACCGAACCGUACUGAAUUUAAAAAUAUGGGACGGUACUUGGUACUCCAAAUACACAAAAUUCGGGAUUCGGUACCGCCGGUACCGGUACUAGUACCGAAGACCGGUACCACUCCUGGUACCGGUGAUUUUAAUUCGGUUCGGUAUUCGGGAUUAACUUUUGAUCGAAUUCGGUUUUCGGGAAAUCGGGAACGGUACGUAUCUGUACCGGUUCUGUCCCACGCUCAUCCCUAAGAUGUUUGAGAAAUAAAAAUCAUUUUCAAAGUAGCUUUUUGCCAAGAAAAAAAAAAGGUUUUUCAAAACUAAGAAAUUUGUGUUUUUUCUUUAAGAACUUUAACAUUUUAAAAGGUAAAAUUACAUUCAAAAGUUACGAAAUACAACUCAAACACUUUAAAAUAACUUUUGGUUUUCGCCCCCAAAAGUUAAAGUUAAAAAAAAACAUUUACAAAAAGAAUUUUUAAACUUAAAAACUAAUCACAAACAAGUAGUAAAAAAAUCUAGACCAUANNNAUAUAUAUAUAUAUAUAUACUUUUAAAAGUUUGCACUAUGAUAAAAUAAAUUGAGAUUUAAAGUCUACAUAAUGCAUUUUUCUCUCAAAUAGUUUUUAUAUUUUUCUCUCAAAACAAUCAUACAUUUUGCUAAAUGUGACUUGAGUAUUUUGAGUAUUAUGAUGACACACUUUGAUAUGAUGACACACUUGAAUGUGAUUACACACUUGGAUACGAUGGCAAACUUGAAUAUGAUGACAUACUUGGAUAUGAUGAUACACUUGAAUGUGGUGGCACACUUAGAUACGAUGACAAGCUUGAAUAUGAUGACAUACUUGGAUAUGACGACACACUUGAAUGUGAUGACACGGUUAGAUAUGAUGACACAUUUGGAUAUGAUGGCACACUUGAAUAUAAUGUCACUCCUCAAAUAUGAUGCCACUCUUUGGGAUGGAGCAUCUAAAAGAAGACGGGGGCAUUAAAGGAGGUUCCACUCAAUGGCAACUCGACAAGAGAAUGACACCUCGAAUAAGUGUCAAGCAUAGGAUGUGUCACUCAAUAGCAACUCAAGACGUUCUAUGCACAGGAGGCACCACUCGAUGUCACAUUGAUGUGCCGCCAUGGUACCUCGACGAUAUGUCAUGCAUUGGACGUGCAACAAAGUGAUAGAAUGUGUCACUAAGUAUCAAGGUGUGUUAUGCAAUGACACCUGAUGUGCCAGUGGUGGAUUGUUGAUGCCAAUGUGAUGUAUCUCAAGGAUGAAGGUUCUAGAAGCCGCUGCAUGACGGAUUGUGAUUGGUUGACACCUUUCAUGAGCCUAUGAAUUAAUGGGCUUGGACCAUUAGAGUUUUAGGUCUGAUCAAUAGUCUAUAAAUAGGGAUGCAUGUUAGUCAUUUGAAAGUGUAUUUUGUAUCCUUAAUGAGUAGGUCGAAUAUCUGUUGGUCGUACGUGUAAUCUUUGUUUGAGAACUCUAUGAAUAAGAAUACACCCUCCUACUCGUGGACGUAUGUCAUUUUGACCGAACCACAUAAAUAAUAUGUUUUUUAUUUGCGUAUUUUUUUAGUUUUGUGUGUUAUCCACAUUUCUUCAUGAUAAGGGGUCAUCAAAACUUGGCAAGUGGCAUCAAAUAUGUUCUGAUUCUUGACAAGUAUGUCUGAUUCCCUAACAUAUUUAUUUAAAGUCUGCUAGAAUGCAUAAAAAAAACUAUCUUUUAAAAACUUAAAAAAAUGUCUCAAUAAUAAAAUACAAUUGUAUAGGAUAAUACAAAGAAAAAAAAAUACUAUAAAAUACAUGAUUAAUUGAAGUUAAAUAAACCAAAUUUAUAUGACAUGAAAUGGAAUAUUAAAACAUUAGCAUGCAUCCAAACAUCAUCACCUUUAAUUUUGAAUUGCCUAAAUCCUCAUGGAACUCGCUUACAGUUCCAGAAAAAUAAAACAAAUUCAAUGGAAGGUAAAAAGCAAAAGGAGAAAAAUAUAUAUAUGGUUUGUUUUAUGUACUACUACACUGUGGCAAGAAAUAUAAGUAAAAUCAAACAAAGAAGCAAAAGCAUAAGAAAUGUGGACACAUUUAAGCUUUAUCUUUUGUGAAAAUGCAUACGCGCAAACAAUAAAGGAAAAGACAAAAUAAAUGGUGUAUGCGUUUUUUUAACUUGAAGAUGUCUUCAAAGUUGAGAAGAGAUUUGCCCAUCUCCUUCAAAAAAGAAGGUGCAAAGAACUUUUUAGUAUAUACUCUUCUAGCAAAACAGUCUGCGAGUUAAAACGUAUAUGCGUAAUUUGUGUCUUAAUAGUUAGGAUGCUCUUUUAAAUUAAAAAAAACAAGCAACAUCUAAGUUAGUAAUCAAUUUAAUAUUCAUUUUAAAUAUAGUUAAUAUAUUAUAUGCUAGGUGUAAGACCUAUUAUUAAAUGGGUUUAUUUAAAAGAAAAACUAAAUACAAAAUUCUAAAUAUUUGAGAAAUUUGAAUUUAUAAGAAAAAUGAAAAAAUAUUGAAUUAUAAAAAUUAAAAUUUUUGUUUUUCUCAUUUAAAUUUAAACAAAUAAUAUAAAAUAAAUAAAUAAAAUUAAUGAAUCUUUAAUUUAGUAAUUUUGAAAUUAAAAAGAAAGUUCAUUAAUAAAAUUGAUAUGCAUUUUUUAAUGCAUUUAAAUAAUAUUUGGAAUUUAAUAAAAUGAAAAAAAACCAUAAAAUGACAUGUGAAAGAAAAAUUAAUUUUAAAAAACCACAAAAUUACAUGUGGCAAAAUAAAUGAAAAUAUGACAUGUGUCAAAAAUAUCUUUAUUUAUUAAGAAGGAUAGUUAUAAUUAUCUUUAAAAAUCGAUUCAGCUAGACUGGUUUUUCUAUAAACCGAAACUUAACCAUUAUUUUUCGGUUAUCGACAAACUGAAACCAAACAAUUUGUUAAAAAAUAAUUAUGUUAUAAUAGUUUGGUUACCAUUAAUUUAGUUUCGGUUUAGUUUUUCAGUUAUUAUAUUUACCUCUAUAAAUCCACACAAAGCUAUUCAAUUCCCGACGUGAAAAGCCUAUUGAUCUUCUUGGUUGGAACAUGAGGUCACCAUUCCAGUCUAAUCAUGUUAAUUAAGAUGUUGAAAUCAAUUUUUAUAUAUCUAAUAUUAUGAUUUCUAAUAAAAAAAAUAUUCAGAAACAGAAAAAAACAAAUAAAUAGUUUAAAUAGAUAUUUAUAUUUUAUAGAGUAUCGCCCCUUGAACCGGGUUUGGCAGUUGGCAUUACUCUUCGUCACACUAUUAUUAUAUUUGUAUAAAAAGAAGCCGGCAAGGAUAAUCCGUAACUUGUCUCUCUCACAAAAAGAAUACCACCAUUUUAAAAGUAAAUACCUCCUAAUUUACUACAAUGCCCCCAUACUUUAUCGUAAUUUCAAAAUAGUUCCAUCGGUUUUAAUAAAUUAUUAUUUUACCCACAACCUUCAUACACUCGAAAUUAUAUUUAUAUGAGAUUAAAUAUCUUUCUAUUUUUUGUUCCUAUAAAUUUUUCUACCCAAUUAAAUAAUGACAUGUAUCAUAUUUAAUGUUCAUUUAAUGAUAUUUUAAUAUAUUAUAAUGAUAUUUAUCAUUAUUUAAUUGAAUAUGAGGAUUUAUAAAAAUAAAAAUAAAAAAAUAUUUAAUAUCUCUAUAUAUAUUUAGAACGAUCCAGCUAGAUUGAAUACCACAUACGGAGCUCUUUAGUUAUUGUCGUGACCUAGGCCACCGCCACAACCAUGCUCACAAUCUUUUGUUUUUUGGUUUUAUGCGAUAUGGAAAUUUUUAAUUUUGUAUUGUUUUAUGCCAUAUAAUAUUAUCAUCUUAAAAAUCUAGUACUAUUUCAAUUAAAAAAGAUAAAGAAAACAUAAAUAUUUAUGAAAAAUUGAAAGUUUAAUAUAUAUUGACAUACUUUAUAAUUAGUCUUUAACUUUUCGUUUCUAAUCCUUUUCAAUUUCGUGCUAAUUAUCAUGAAUCAUAUUCGCAAGUUUCAUUUUAAAUUUUGAUAAAUAAUUAUCUAGUUUUCAUUUUUUUAAUUCGUAAUUUUAUUUUUAAUGUAACGAUGGUAACUAGAUUUAUCUAUUUUAAUAAUAUAAAAUAAAGUUUAUAUGUUUUUAUUUGGUUUUAUAAGUAAAAAUAUAUAAUUUAAUUGUUUAAAGUUAAAACUAUAUGUUUUUAGUGUUUAUAAUAAUUUUAAAAAGAAUAAAAUUAAUCAUAAAUUAUACUACUUAUUUAGUAAAAAAAUUGAUUUUGGUUGUUUUGCUAAGGAGGAUGAAAAUUUGAUAGAACUUAUUUUGUUAUAAAAAAAAUUAUGUGAAUGGUGUCGUUAAGGGUGAAGGGAGUCAAGUGGACAGAAAGCAGCUCCUAUGUUGAGGCGGCACUUCUGUACCGAUGGAUACACGAUCCUUCUUUGAUAAGUACUUGUAAACGGAAAAAGGUAUAUUGGUGGGUUCUUCGACCCGUUUGGCCUUGGACAAAAAAAAAAGUAAAUGUUUAUUUACAUAAAUGCUUUUAAGUUUUCAAGUUUUGUCUUUGUGAUGAUUUUUUGUGCGUUAAUGACUUAAUGUCUAAUUUUUAUGAAUAUUUGUUCAUUGUUUCCCUUUAGUCGUUUUUUGCCUUUUACAGCAGGUCGCCACCCCUUUGGUCGGUUACCUUCUUGCUUUCUACUCCUUUUCCCUUUUCUCACAAGAAACCGAUGCACCACCACCAUCCUCGACUGUCAGAAAACCAAAAACACCUUUUUGGAUCUACACACACCGGUGAAACCAUCUUCCCUUCGCCAUCAAACCCCACCAAACAUCCUUGUCUACCGACAACCUAGCUACCUACGCCACCCUCCUCCAUGUGUCGAAAAAACCGAAAAGCCCUACCAUUCUAGAUAUGUACACCGAUGGAACCGCCUUUCCUACGCCACCAAACCCUACCAACCACUAUUGUCUUCCGAUCACCACAACUACCUAGGCCAUGCUCCUACCUUUCGUCGGAUAAUCAAAAACCCCCUUGUCUUUCCAUUUUGAUUCCACCCCAACACCUAACCUUUAUUUUCGUCGCAAACCCUAGCCUUCGCCAUCUUUACUUUGUCUUUUGGUUUUUUGAGGGUUGUAGUGGUGUUGGAGGUAGGUUUGUGUGUGUGAUUUCUAGAUUUAUGGUGGUGACGGCAAUUUAGAGGUUUGUAGUAGAUGGUGAUGAUUGCUUCUAAGGGUAAACCCUUGUGCAUGUUAUGGUGGUGGUGGUGAGGGCAAAGGUGUGGUGACAUGUGAAGAUUAAAAAUGGUUAAAGGACAAAAAUGAAUAAUUUUUUACAAAUAUGCAUAAAAAGCUUGGACUUCAAGAGUUUUUAAAUUGUUCUAUUUGACGAACAAAAAUAAAUUUAUAAGCUAAUUUUUUAAUUAAACCGACCUUUUAACUUUUUUAAACCUCUACCAAAUUUAACAUUAAGUACUUAUAAAAAAAAGAACUUAAUUAAAUAUGCUUUACAUUGAUUAUAUAUUUUAAAUAAUUUAUCGGCUACAUUAUUAAACUAAACUGUCAUGUUUUAAUUUUUUUAUUAGCUAUGUCUGACAGCUAAAUUUUCAUAAUCAGUUGUGUGUACUGUGUACAUUUAUAUAAUAAUUUCCAACACGAUUCUUGUUUAACUUUUAAAAUAAAUGAAAGAACUUUACAAUAUUCUAAAAGAGUUAACCGGAAAAUCGAUCCCUGUCACUGGGCCGGCAAAGUUUCCGGCCGCCAUGACAGAUCCGACGAACCAAAACCUAGAUCUGUAUGAUCAAACAACCCAUCUAACGCCACGUAUUCACCGUUGUUACUAUAAUUACUAACAUUAACAUCGUCAUAACCAAAUUCAUACUCGAAUGAACCAUAGUUUGAGAUCUGAUCAUCUAAACCCCAUAACUCACUGAGUUCAACCGACUCAGCCAAAACUCUCAUCUUUUCCGGUGCGGUUAGAGUUGUAUCCGUAUCCGUUUCGGUCGGUGGAAGACCGAGUUCGUCAUCCGACGCCUCAAAAAGAAACCCAAGCUCCGGCCGGGAUUCGGAAUUUACUCCGGCGCCAAACUCCGGCACCGGAGAAAUCUCAUCUUGAAAGCUCUUCAUGAACGAGUCAAGGUCGUGAUUCACUGUGGACGCAUCUGAAUCGUCCAAAAUGUCGAGGAGGAUUCUUUUGGCCUCGACUGAGUCAAACCCCGACUCGUCUGAGUCAGAACGGACUCGUUUCUUGCAACUCAGAGAUUCCAUUUUAACGAGAGAGAGAGAGAGAGAGAGAGAGAGAGAGAGAGAGAGAGAGAGAGAGAGAGAGAGAGAGAGNNNNNNNNNNNNNNNNNNNNNNNNNNNNNNNNNNNNNNNNNNNNNNNNNNNNUUUAACGAGAGAGAGAGAGAGAGAGAGAGAGAGAGAGAGAGAGAGAGAGAGAGAGAGAGAGAGAGAGAGAGAGAGAGAGAGGUAGGGGUAGUUUCGGGAUAAAGAUUUGUUGAUGAGGGAGACAAAGGAUGUUUGUGAAGUGGCAAAGGAGACGGAAGGGGUUUUAUAGGGAGGGACAAAGUUUGAUUUUAUUUUGAUUUUUUUAUUAUUAUUUUGAUUUUUUUAUUAGUGUCGAUGAUGGGAGGAGAAGGACAGGGGCGCGUGGAGGCAUUUACUUCGAACAUCACGCAUGUCUUAGGCUGUUUUUUUUCUUCUUUAUCAAACUUUUUUCCGCCAAAAUGAUCCUUCUAGUGCAAAUCUUGCU
rnacentral:lncRNA from 1 species